rnacentral:lncRNA from 1 species
GAAAAGAUACUGGAUGAAGCGCAAAUAUCAAGGAUAUUCCACUAAUUUCAUGGAGUAUAGAAGUCAAAACUUUAACCAACUAAGUAUAAUAAAGAAUGGAAUAACAACAGAAAUCACCAUGCAUGCGGUAUUCGCAUAGACAGGUUAUUCCAACAGAAUAAUAAAUAACGGAACCAGGUUAGGUGAAAUUCACACCGACAGGAUGUUCCAACAGAAUAAUAAAGAAUGGAAUAACAACAAAAAUCACCAUGCAUGCGGUACUUCGCAUAGACAGGUUAUUCCAACAGAAUAAUAAAUACGGAAUAAUAAAUAAUGGAACCAGGUCAGGUGAAAUUCACACCGACAGGAUAUUUUGACAUAAUAUUAAAUGCAGAAUAAUAAAUAAUGGAACCAGUUCAGGUGAAAUUCACACCGACAGGAUAUUCCGACAGAAUAUUAAAGAAUGAAAUAAUAGAAGAAUUUCACCAUGUAUGCAGUACUUUGCAUUUACAGGUUAUUCCAACAUUAUAAAAAAAUGGAAUAACAGAAGAAGAUCACCAAGUAUAGGGUAAACCGCAUAUACAGGUUAUUCCACCAAGUAUAGGGUAAACCGCGUAUACAGGUUAUUCCAACAGAAUAAUAAAGAAUGGAAUAACAGAAGAAGAUCACCAAGUAUAGGGUAAACCGCAUAUACAGGUUAUUCCACCAAGUAUAGGGUAAACCGCGUAUACAGGUUAUUUCAACAGAAUAAUAAAUAAUGGAAUAACAUAAGGAUUUCACCAAGUAUAGGGGAUUUCACAUAUACAGGUUAUUCCAACAGAAUAAUAAAGAAUGAAAUAACAGAAGAAUUUCACCAAGUAUAGGGGUUUCCGCGUAUACAGGUUAUUCCAACAGAAUAAUAAAGAAUGGAAUAACAGAAGUUCUCUUCAUGAAUACAAAAGAAUGACACCCCUUACCAUAGAAGAAGUUGGAUAUUGGAGUAGUGAUGUAGUAAAGUAGCAAAAUACUCUUCUUCUUUCUCUUUAUAAUUUCUCUCUCAAGAGUUUCAGUGAAUUCAUUAGAAAUAAUGAAGGAAUGAGCUUCUAUUUAUAAAAGAAUGGAAUGAAUAGUAACUAAUUCCUGAACGAUCCAGAUUGAUUUACUUUUAAACGGACGGUCCAGAUUAAAACUUAAAGCAAUGGUCCAUAUUGAUUCACUAUUAAAACUUUAAACCAGCGAUCCAUAUUGAUUUACUAUUAAAACUUUAAACCAGCGAUCCAUACUGAUUCACUAUUAAAACUUUAAACCAGCGAUCCAUAUUGAUUCACUAUUAAAACUUCAACCAACGGUCUGAAAAAUUAGCACAUCUCCUCAUGGAAUAAUAUUGUACCCAAAUACCCGAAUGCACAAUACUAGAGUGAAUAGUAACCGGGUGAAUAGUAACUCAUGAAUAAUAACUCGUGAAUAGUAACUCAUGAAUAGUAACUCAUGAAUAGUAACUCAUGAAGAGUAACUUGUGAAUAGUAACUCAUGAAUUGUAACUCGUGAAUAGUAACUCGUGAAUAGUACUCCGACACGAAAAGUGUCCCGAAUACCCGAUUGAACAAUAUAACCUCUAGACAUCAAUUAUCAUCGGAAUAGAUGUCGAUUUCUACUAACACAAAUAAUCCCAACACAAUGGAACUAUCAAAUUCAUCUUUAAUCAACACGAACUUAUUCAUCAUUAAUAUUAUAACUCACAAUAUUUAACAACCAGGUUGUUCCCAGGAAAGAGGGGGCUUUCCAAUAAGGAUUUCUCCCUAUUGGCGCGCAAUUAGGUGACCAAACCUCUCCUUGACAAAACUUCUAGACAUUGUAAACAUUGCAAUUUAAUAAUAUGAAUAACUUUGUCGUCUCAAUUAUUAAUUUAUUAAUAUAACAUAUAAUACAGAUGAUACUGUGAUAAUAAUCGAAUCAAUAAUAUGAAAGAUAUGAUGCAACAAUUAUUGUAGCAAUAAUUUAGUAUAACUGAAUGAUUUCUCACGUAAGCAUCAAUAAUCAAUACCGUGUGCUACUAUGCAACCACCCGUAUUACUGUACUUUUACUACCGGGUAGUUCAACAGUAUCAACGGUAAAACUUCCGCCGUUAUUUUCAGAAAAUAUCUUUGUCGUUUUCUAACUACGACAGUACUUCCGUUGUGGGUUCCACUAAUGAUUGUGCCGUCGUACGAAUAUUCCCCGACAAAAAGAAUAUUCCCCGACCAAUCGAAUAUAAUAUAACAACUUGCAUACUUUAUAAAAUUUAUAAAUACUACCCACAACUAUAACUUUAUCUCAAAUUCACACCAUAAUAUUCAAAAAAAUAUUUCGAGAAAAUUAAAUCUUUAUUCGUAAAAUUUGGGGUCUCACACAUAAUGCCCGUACCGAGUUCUGAAGGCAGUCUUUGGAAUAUCCUCAGUUUUAAUCUUCAGCUGAUGAUAUCCAGAACAAAGAUCGAUCUUUGAAAAGAAUUGUGCUCCUUGCAACUGGUCAAACAGGUCAUCAAUGCGAGGUAACAGAUACCUAUUCUUGAUGGUGACAUGGUUCAAUUCUCGAUAGUCAAUACAAAGUUGCAUACUCCCGUCUUUCUUCUUUACAAAUAAAAUAGGAGCCCCAAGGAGAUGUACUAGGAUGAAUGAAACCAAUGUCUAACAACUUCUGUAAUUGGACCUUUAAUUCCUAAAGUUCAAUAGGAGCCAUUCGAUAUGGGGUUUUAGAAAUGGGCUUUGUACCAGGUUCAAGAUCAAUAAAGAAAUCACUUCACGUUCUGGGGGUAGACCAGGAAGUUCUUCAGGAAAUACGUCAGGAAAGGUAUUAACAACAGGAAUAUUAUUCAAAUCUGACGUGUCUUUAUUCAAAUCCAUAACAUGGGCCAAGAAAGCUUGACAUCCGUUUUUCAAUAAACGAAUAGCUUUAUGACUUGAUAUGACAGUGAUUGAUUUUAGUGGUUUAGUUUCUUGAAUUCGUACAACAGGUUGGUUAGGAAUAUGAAAACUAACAACCUUACAAAAAUAAUAAAUUUUGGCAUGAUGAGUAAUUAACCAAUCAAUCCCUAAAAUCACAUCAAAAGCAAGUAUCUUUAAAGAGAUAAGGUCAACAGGUAAUGUGAUGGUGCCAACUUGGAUCAAACAAGAUUUAUAAAUAGUGGAUGUAAUAAAAGUUUGUCCUAACGAAGUCUCCACAGAUAGAUCAAAGUCUAAUUUCUCCGGAGUCAAGUUUAAACGUUGAGCACAAGCAGGAGAGAUAAAUGAAUGGGUAGCAUCGGUAUCUAGUAAUGUAUAAACUUCGUAAGAAUUUAUGAUUAGCCUACCCGUGAUCACCUCGUUUGGGUUCCUUGCAUUUUAACCAGUCACGACAAACGCUCUUCCAGGAACCGUUGACUUUGACUUUUCUGGAACAGCCUUUUGAGUUACCAUCCCCGCUGGACUUGGUUUUGCUACCGUACAAUCUCGAGCGAUAUGUCCUUCCUUUCCACAAUUAUAGCAUACCUUGAACUGUUGUGGACAGUUUGGGCUGAUAUGUCCCUCUUUUCCACAUUUAUAGCAUACGACCGGUGGUCGUUCUCCUCCCUCAGAACCAGCUGCUGGUGCUGACGUCUUCGCAUUGUCAUUGUUGAAUCUCCUCUUUUUAAAAUCUCCCCCCGACUCGCUUCUUCUAUUUUCAUGGCCAUGAUUACCACCAGAGUGGUUGCCGCUCUUGUCCGCAUUUUUCUUUCCCCGCUGGUUAUCGUUGCUCCGAUGACUGCUGUCACCGGUAUGACCCUGGUUAUGGUCCCUCGGUUGAACGUACUCGUUAUCUCGCUAUAAUAAUUGAGCCCUGUUGACAACAUCUGAAUAUAGAGAAAAUUUAUGAGAAAUGAGAUACUGACGUAUGUCGGGUUUUAAACCUCUCAGAAACAUCCGUGCCAUACGUUCCUCAUUCUCCACCAAAUGAGGUGCAAACCUGGAUAACUCCGCGAACUUUAUCUCGUACUGGGACACCGUCAUGUUGUUCUGCUCCAGUCUAAUAAACUCUACCUCCUUCAUAUGAUGAAUACUUUCAGGAAAGUACUUGUCAUUNNNNNNNNNNNNNNNNNNNNNNNNNNNNNNNNNNNNNNNNNNNNNNNNNNNNNNNNNNNNNNNNNNNNNNNNNNNNNNNNNNNNNNNNNNNNNNNNNNNNUCUAUCAUUUCCACCUAUAUUUUCUACACGAGUCUCCUUCGUCUGAUUUUGCAUGAACUGCAAAAAACUUCUAAACAUCCCAUCAUUCAUCGUCUGAUCAGUGGUGUUGUUUACAGGAGGAACAUUGCCAGCCUGUUGCAUGUUCUCCUUAUUGGUGAGUAAAGGAGUUCUCCACGGUCUCAUUUACUCCACUGUCAACAUUCUCAGUUGCCAUUCUCAAAUACUGCCAUAAAACAAGGGUUAAUUCAAGAAAUUAACAUAUCACGUAAUAUCCCUAUAUUAUGACCGACCAACAAAUAAGCUUAGGUAGGAUAUACUAGCGAAGGAUUUACGCAUCUCUCCCUGCCUAAUUAUAUUCCCCGAUCUCCGCCAGAGAUCAUAUCCCUAAGCUCUGAUACCAACUGUGACACCCCCAAAAUAGGUAUACAACACCCAUUUUGAGUCGCAAAAUAUAUGGUACAGAAACAACUACAACUUUAUUAAUACAAUUGUCGUGCAAAAUACGACAACACAUAAACUGUGAGUUAAAAAUAAAUAUUGUCUUCUAGACAAUAUCAACACUCAAAUAAGUCCUCAUUACAAUUAUUGAUACACUAUUUUACAAAAUAAUAAGGACUACUAAAACGACUUUCUAGAAUCUUCAUUCCACACCCCGACUAGUACUCGCUACAUUCUCGCCUCCUGAGAAGAAAAUGGAACAAAAAGGAAAAGGGUGAGCUCAGCUAGCCCAGUAAAGAAUAUUAUGACUAAGAUAACAUAGAACAAGUUAUCGUUAGUCCUCAACAGGGAAAAAUCUGAUAGAAUACAAUAGACAACAAGUUUUAAAUCAAUAUUCGCAGCGAAAAUAAUAAUUCAUUAGAAGAGUUACGUAGAGAAUAAAAUCUACUAUUAUCUAUGAAUUUAAAAGUCUAUCAUCAAUAUUUUAUCCCUGUAACAUUCAUCAAUAUACAUCUUGAAUCAAAUAUUCAUCUUUGCACUACAGGCCAAAGAUAUUCAUCGGUUGGUCAUGUUCAUCUCAACACCUGUACAUCUUUGCACUACGGGCCAAAGAUAUUCAUAAGAAAAUCAACCAUCUUUGCACUACAGGCCAAAGAUAUUCAUCGGUUGGUCAUGUUCAUCUCAACACCUGUACAUCUUUGCACUACGGGCCAAAGAUAUUCAUAAGAAAAUCAACCAUCUUUGCACUACAGGCCAAAGAUAUUCAUCGGUUGGUCAUGUUCAUCUCAACACCUGUACAUCUUUGCACUACGGGCCAAAGAUAUUCAUAAGAAAAUCAACCAUCUUUGCACUACAGGCCAAAGAUAUUCAUCGGUUGGUCAUGUUCAUCUCAACACCUGUACAUCUUUGCACUACAGGCCAAAGAUAUUCAUCAGUUGGUCAUGUUCAUCUCAACACCUGUACAUCUUUGCACUACAGGCCAAAGAUAUUCAGUAAUAUCAUCAUUUAAGACUGAGGAUGAUGAAAAAUAUUUUAAAGAGAACGAAUUCAAUGAAACAAAAGAGAAAAUAUUAAGGAUUCGUACUUUAAACAGCCCAAGUUCAAAAAUACUUCAUAAAUAACCAUAGUAGAGUAAAAUUCAAGAAUGAUCAAAAUAUAGAUACAAUCAAAGCUAGUAUCCAUAAUAGAUAUCUUGGACAAAAAACAAAAAUUUAAUUUUUCUGUGAAUAGUGUCGUAUACGUGAAUAGUAACCCCGACACUAAAAGACAAGAAUUUCACAAGAAAAAUCUUACCAAUAUUCUGACAUAAUGAUAUUAGAAGAAAUAAUAUUAUUUAAAAAAAAAUAACAUCCCUUACCUCGAAAAGAUAGUACUUCUGAUAGAAUACUGGAUAUAGUGCUGAAGGGAUCUUGCACCNNNNNNNNNNNNNNNNNNNNNNNNNNNNNNNNNNNNNNNNNNNNNNNNNNNNNNNNNNNNNNNNNNNNNNNNNNNNNNNNNNNNNNNNNNNNNNNNNNNNCUAAAACGACUUUCUAGAAUCUUCAUUCCACACCCCGACUAGUACUCGCUACAUUCUCGCCUCCUGAGAAGAAAAUGGAACAAAAAGGAAAAGGGUGAGCUCAACUAGCCCAGUAAAGAAUAUUAUGACUAAGAUAAUAUAGAACAAAUUAUCGUUAGUCUUCAACAGGGAAAAAUCUGAUAAAAUACAAUAGACAACAAGUUUCAGAUCAAUAUUCGCAGCGGAAAUAAUAAUUCAUAGAAGAGUUACGUAGAGAAUGAAAUCUACUAUUAUCUAUGAAUUUAAAAGUCCAUCAUCAAUAUUUUAUCCCUGUAACAUCAAUCAAUAUACAUCUUGAAUCAAAUAUUCAUCUUUGCACUACAGGCCAAAGAUAUUCAUCAGUUGGUCAUGUUCAUCUCAACACCUGUACAUCUUUGCACUACAGGCCAAAGAUAUUCAGUAAUAUCAUCAUUUAAGACUGAGGAUGAUGAAAAAUAUUUUAAAGAGAACGAAUUCAAUGAAACAAAAGAGAAAAUAUUAAGGAUUCGUACUUUAAACAGCCCAAGUUCAAAAAUACUUCAUAAAUAACCAUAGUAGAGUAAAAUUCAAGAAUGAUCAAAAUAUAGAUACAAUCAAAGCUAGUAUCCAUAAUAGAUAUCUUGGACAAAAAACAAAAAUUUAAUUUUUCUGUGAAUAGUGUCGUAUACGUGAAUAGUAACCCCGACACUAAAAGACAAGAAUUUCACAAGAAAAAUCUUACCAAUAUUCUGACAUAAUGAUAUUAGAAGAAAUAAUAUUAUUUAAAAAAAAAUAACAUCCCUUACCUCGAAAAGAUAGUACUUCUGAUAGAAUACUGGAUAUAGUGCUGAAGGGAUCUUGCACCGUAUAGCAACAAAAUACUCACAAGAAUACGAUCGAUAGUAUGGAGAGAGAAAGAGAGAGAAAACUUGUUUCUAGUGUGAUUUUCAAUUCUAACAUAAGCACCAUAUUUAUAGGAAAAUACUUAGAACACCAAAGCAGAAAAUUUAAUAAAAUAUUAAUAUUUUCAAAUUAUAUUCCUACUCACACUACACCAGACCAAAAUCAUCAGCCAUCCACCCCACAAAAAUAACAAAAACGUUUUUCUUAAUUAAAAUAUUUUAAACUUCAAAAAUUAAUUAUUUCGGAACUUUAAUAAUUCAUAAUAAAUAGCCUUUUAUCAGAAAAAUUCAAUCUUAUGUCCAUUCUAUAAGAAAUUUAAUUCUCUACAACUUUGCAGAAGAAAGUUUUUCCAAAUUCCAAGCAGAAGUUGACCGAAAUCUAUAUACGGACGAUUUUACAGGCUAUAAUCAAAUUUUAGUCAAUAAAUGGGGUCCACCAACACACAAAAUAUGUUUUAAAUAUUUUAAGUAAUAAAAAUAUUCUUCCUCAUGUAUUCAUAUAUCCCACAUUCAUUGUAAAAAUAUCAUCAUUAUUAUAUUAUUAUAAUAUAAUAAUAUAUUUAAAUGAAUUAUUUUAUCAGAAAAAGAUAAAAUAACAAUUUUCAACAAUUGUCUCCAUCUAUAUCCACAUAAAAUGAAUAUUUUUCUUAUCAUAUAAAUCAAUAAUUAAUUAUUCAUAAAUAAUAUUACAGAAUCACAAUAUCGACAACCAUGCCGUUCCCAAGAAAGAGGGGACUUUCCAAUAAGGAUUUCUCCUUACUGGCGCGCAAUUAGGUGACCAAACCUCUCCUUAGACCGAACUUUCUAGACAUUGCCAAUAAUGCUAUCUAAUAAGAUUAUUCAAAUAAUAUGAAUUAUUGAUCUGAUAAUGGAAAAUACUGUGUAGUGACAAUUAUUAAAAUAACAAUAAUAUAAAUUAUCAACGUAGCAAUUAUUGAAUCAAUAAAAUAUUGAACAGUAAUUACUGUAACAAUUAUUGAGUAGUGCCUUCUUACGUAAGAAUCAAAUACCGUGUGCUAAUGUGUUUUAACCACCGAGUAUUUCAACAGUAUUAACGGUAACAACUACACUGUUAUUUAUAAAUAACUUAUACUUGUCGUUUUCUUCAUCCAAUCGCUUUCUAUUAUGGGGCCCACACAAGGUUGCGCCGUCGUACGAAUAUUCCCCGACAACAAGAAUAUUUCACGACCAAACGAAUAUUCCCCGAUAACAAUGAAUAUUUUAUAACCACUUGCUUAUUUAAAAUAUUUUCGCAUUUUACCCAUAACUAAUCACAUUAAUCAAAUCAACCCUUACUAUUUCAAAAUAAUAAAUAAAGGAAAUUCAAUUUCAUUUAUAAUAAGUUGGGGUCUUACAACCUCCCCUCCUUAUGAAAUUUCAUCCUCGAAAUUGACGUAUGUACCUGGUGUUUUGAAAAGGUGAGGAUACCUCGCUUUCAUUUCUAUUUCCAACUCCCAGGUCAUUUCCUCUAUAGCAUGGUUCCUCCAUAAAACUUUGACUUGUGGUAUGACCUUUGUGCGUGGGACAUGCUCCUUCCUAUCCAAGAACUUAACUUGUACCUCCUCGUACGUUAAAUCUUCAGCUAUUUCGUCUGGUUCUAACUCAAUAACGUGGUUCGGGUCUUUCACAUAUUUAUGAAGCACAAAUAUGAAUACUGGCAUGCCAUGUAAUCUCACAAUCUCAUUUACAUACAUACGAGCAAGAUGUUCAAGGGAAUAAGUCUCCCGUAUCGGCAAGAAAUGAGCAGACUUGGUUAAUCUAUCAACAAUAACCCAAAUAGCAUUUAUGCCUUGAGAAACCAUGGGAAGACCCGUAACGAAAUCCAUGGUAAUGUGUUCCCACUUCCAUUUCGGAAUCUCAAGUGGUUGCAAUGGACCCUUAGGCACUUGAUGUUCCGCCUUUACACGUUAAUAAGUUAAACACCUCAAGAUAAACUUUGCAAUCCCUCUCUCCAUAUUGUUCCACCAAAAUGUAUGUCAAAGAUCACGAUACAUUUUGGUACUUCUAGGAUGGAUUGCAAAUGGUGUAUUGUGUGCCUCCAUCAUGAUCUUGUUCUUCAAAUCAGAGUCGUUAGGAACACAAAGUCUGGAAUGGACUCGAAGUAUUCCUUCUUCAUCGAUUCUUACUUCUGGAAUAACACCUUCUUGUACUUUCUUUUUCAUACGCAUCAGCUCCGGGUCUGUGGCUUGAGCAACUUUAACUUUUUCGAUUAAAGUCGGUUCUAUGCAUAUACUUGACAUCAUCGCAUGAGUCCCCGGAGUCUUGAAUUCUAUCUUCAAAUUUUGUAAUUCACACAAAAUGGGCCUUUGUGUUGACAACAUCACACUCGUUCCCGCAUAUGAUCAUCUACUCAACGCAUUAGCUACCACAUUCGCUUUUCCAGGAUGGUAUUGAAUGGUGUGGUCGAAAUCUUUCAACAGCUCGAGCCAACGUCGUUGCCGCAUGUUGAGUUCCUUUUGGGUGAAGAAAUAUUUGAGGCUUUUAUGGUCUGAAUAUAUCUCCAGUUUCUCCCCGUAUAGAUAGUGCCUCCAGAUCUUUAACACGAAAACGACUGCUGCCAACUCUAGAUCAUGAGUAGGAUAAUUCCUCUCAUAUUCUUUAAGUUUUCGCGAGGCAUAGGCUAUGACUUUCCCAUGUUGCAUGAGAACACAUCCUAACCCUUUGCCCGAAGCAUCGCUGUAGAUAACAAAUCCAUCCGAACCAGAUGGUAUUGUCAGAACAGGUGCCAAAAUGAGUCUCCUCUUGAGCUCUUGAAAACUCGUUAAAGGAGUAGAGAUUCGAGAAAACCCUUCCACGAAUCUUCGAUAAUAACCAGCUAAGCCCAGAAAGCUACGAACUUCGGUCACCGUCUUCGGUUGCCCCCAAAUUUUUAUUGCCUCAAUCUUCGUCGGGUCGACAGAUACUCCAUGUUUUGACACCACAUGUCCAAGGAAUGCUACUUCCUCAAGCCAGAACUCGCAUUUCUUCAACUUAGCAUAAAGCUUGUUUUCACGAAGCCUUUGGAGUACCAGCUUCAAAUGGUGCUCAUGAUCUUCACGGCUUUUGGAAUAUAUGAGGAUGUCAUCAAUAAAGACAACAAUAAAUUAAUCCAAAUAUUCCUUGAAUACUCGGUUCAUCAUAUCCAUGAAAGCCGCAGGAGCAUUAGUCAAUCCAAAAGACAUGACCAAGAAUUCAAAAUGCCCGUACCGAGUUCUGAAGGCAGUCUUUGGAAUUUUCUCAGUUCUAAUCUUCAGCUGAUGAUAUCCAGAACGAAGAUUGAUCCUUGAAAAGAAUUUUUCUCCUUACAACUGGUCAAACAGGUCAUUAAUGCGAGGUAGUGGAUACCUAUUCUUGAUGGUGACAUGGUUCAAUUCUCGAUAGUCAAUACAAAGUGGCAUACUCCCGUCUUUUUUCUUUAUAAAUAAAAUAGGAGCACCCCAAGGAGAUAUACUAGGAUGAAUAAAACCAAUGUCCAACAACUCCUGUAGUUGUACCUUUAACUCCUGAAGUUUAAUAGGAGCCAUUCGAUAUGGGGUUUUAGAAAUGGGCUUUGCACCAGGUUCAAGAUCAAUAAAGAAUUCAACUUCAUUAGGAAAUACGUCAGAAAAUUUACUAACAACAAGAAUAUUAUUCAAAUCCGAAGUGUCUUUAUUCAAAUUCAUAACAUGGGCUAAAAAAGCUUGACAUCCAUUUUUUAAUAAACGAAUAGCUUUAUGACUUGAUAUGACAGUGAUUGAUUUUAGUGGUUUAGUUACUUGAAUUCGUACAACAGGUUGGUUAGGAAUAUGAAAACUAACAACCUUACGAAAACAAUCAAUUUUGGCAUGAUGAGUAGUUAACCAAUCAAUCCCUAAAAUCACAUCAAAAGAAAGUAUCUUUAAAGAGAUAAGGUCAACAGGUAAUGUGAUGGUGCCAACUUGGAUCAAACAAGAUUUAUAAAUAGUGGAUGUAUUGAAAGUUUCUCCUAACGGAGUCUCCAUAGAUAAAUUAAAGUCUAAUUUCUCUGGAGUCAAGUUUAAACGUUGAGCACAAGCAGGAGAGAUAAAUGAAUGGGUAACACCGGUAUCUAGUAAGGUAUAAACUUUGCAAGAAUUUAUGAUUAGCUUACCCGUGAUCACCUCGUUUGGGUUCCUCGCAUUUUGACCAGUCAUGACAAACGCUCUUCCAGGAACCGUUGACUUUGACUUUUCUGAGACAGCCUUUUGAGUCACCAUCCCCGCUGGACUUGAUUUUGCUACAGUACAAUCUCGAGCGAUAUGUCCUUCCUUUCCACAAUUAUAAUAUACCUUGAACUGUUGUGGGAAGUUUGGGCUGAUAUGUCCCUCUUUUCCACAUUUAUAGCAUACGACCGGUGGUCGUUCUCCUCCCUUAGAACCAAUUGCUGCUGGUGCUGACGUCUUCGCAUUGUCAUUGUUGAAUCACCUCUUUUUAAAGUCUCCCCCCGACUCGCUUCUUCUAUUUUCAUGGCCAUGAUUACCACCAGAGUGGUUACCGCUUUUGUCAGUAUUUUUCUUUCUCCGCUGGUUAUCAUUGUUCUGAUGACUGCUGUCACCGGUAUGAUCCUGGUUGUGGUCCCUCGGUUGAACGUACUCGUUAUCUCGCUCUAAUAAUUGAGCCCUGUUGACAACAUCUGAAUAAAGAGAAAAUUUAUGAGAAAUGAGAUAUUGACGUAUGCUGGGUUUCAAAUCUCUCAGAAACAUCCGCGUCAUACGUUUUUCAUUCUCCACCAAAUGAGGUGCGAACCUGUAUAACUCUGCAAACUUUGCCUCGUACUGGGACACCAUCAUGUUGUUUUGUUCUAGUCUAAUAAACUCCACUUCCUUCAUAUGACGAAUACUUUCAGGAAAGUACUUGUCAUUGAACGAUUUCUGAAACGUCUCCCAAGACAUGCUGAGUGCAGCUGGAUGGGUACGCUUCACAGAUUCCCACUAGUAAUCUACCUCAUUACGGAACAUAAAGGUGGCGAAUGGAACCUUCUGUUCCUCCGUGCAUCCCAAAACAUCGAAUAUUUUGGUGAUUUGUUUGACCCACGUUUCUGCCUUAAUCGGAUCUGACUUUCCCGAGAAUUCUGGUGGUCCCAACUCUUUGAAUUGCUUGGCUGUGACAAACCGUGCGUUGUUAUCAUUUCCACCUGUAUUUUGUACAUGAGUCUCCCUCGUUUGAUUUUGCAUGAACUGUAAAAAGCUUCUAAACAUCCUGUCAUUCAUCGUCUGCUCAGUGGUGUUGUUUAUAGGAGGAACAUUGCUGGCCUGUUGUACGUUCUCCUCAUUGGUGAGUAAAGGUGUCUCCACGGUCUCAUUUACUCCACUGUUAACAUUCUCAGUCGCCAUUCUCAAAUACUACAAUAAAACAAUGGUUAAUUAAAGAAAUAAACAUAUGACAUAUUAUCCCUAUAUACUAACCAACAAACAAAUAAGCUUAGGUAGGACACACUAGCAAAGGAUUUACUCGUCUCUCCCCUCCUAGUUCUAUUCCCCGAUCUCCGCCACAGAUCAUAUCCCUAAUGUGACGCCCCUAAAAAUAGGUAUACAUCACCCAUCUUGAGUCGCCAAAUACAUGGUACAAAAUACAAAUAAAAACUUAAUUAUACAAACGUCGUGUAAACAAUACGACAAAAUAUAUGCUAUGAGUUUUAAUACAAAUAUUGUCAUCUAGACAAUAUUCACACUCAAUGGAGUCCUUAUUACAUUUAUUAUCACACUAUUUUACAGAAUAGUGAGGACUACUAAUACUAUCAUUUGGACCGUCACUCCAUUCCCCGACUCGUCCCAGCUAUAUUCUCAUUUCCUGAAGAGAACAGUGAAAGAAAGGGGUGAGCUCAACUAGCCCAAUAAGAAAUAUUAUGACUAAGAUAAUGCAGAAUAAAUUGGCAACAUAAUACUUCUUUGUAGCUCAUAAAUAUUGAAAUGGUCAUAACUAGCUCAUUUUAAGUCGGAAUGAGCUCAUUUUUGGACAGGAGGUACUUUAUACCAUAUACUUUCAUUUCCUAAAAGGCCAGAAUUUUUCUCAUAAAUUAAGUGGCCGAAACAACCCUUUUAAAUUUCUGGGCAGUAACAUUUUUCUCUUUUACAGCUUUUGACUCCUUUGCUAAAAAUAGUCCACACGAAAAUCUACAAUACCUUUUCUAGUGAUUCCACUUGGAUAAGUUAGAAAACUCAUAGAUCUAACUUUAGAACUUGACCACGCCCAAAACUUCAAAAUAUAAUAGGAGAUAUGGUCAUUUGAAUUUCAUGUUCUAUUUUCACCAAAAUCUGAUUUUCAACUCUUUGUGAUAUCUAAGAAACUUUCAUGUUUUCACAUAAUAACCCACAUAACUCAUCAUGAUAAUGACAUAAUAAUUCAAUAAAACAAGUUUAAGAAUAAAUUUUAAAGAUUUAUAAGUUAAUUUAUCCUGAACUCAAUAAUGUCCAAAUUGGCAACAUAAUACUUCUUUGUAGAGUAAAAUUCAAGAAUGCUCAGAAGAAUAUUUCCAUGAAAAGAUAUUGGAUGAAGCGCAAAUAUCAAGGAUAUGCCACUAAUUUCAUGGAGUAUAGAAGUCAAAGCUUUAACCAACUGAGUAUAAGAGAAUAUAUGAAACUGCAAAUGGAUUUUCGUCCGCCAAGCGGUAAUCCACUUAGACAGAUCAUUUCCAUAAUUUAAUAAGGAAUGAAUACAAAGGAUCAUUCACCAUGCAUGUGAUAAUCCACAUAGAAAGGUUAUUCCAACAGAAUAAUAAAGUAUGGAAUAACAGAAGAAAUCACCAUGCAUGCGAUAGAUCUCACGGACAGGUUAUUCUCAACAGAAUAAUAAAUAAUGGAACUAGGUCAGGCGUAAUACGCACCGACAUGAUAUCCCAACAGAAUAAUAAAGAAUGGAAUAACAACAAAAAUCCCAAUGCAUGCGAUAGAUCGCACAGACAGGUUAUUCCAACAUAAUAAUAAAAAUGGAACCAGGUCAUGCGUAACGCAUAAACAGGAUAUUCCGACAGAAUAAUAAAGAAUGGAACCAUGUCAUGCGUAAACGCACAGAUAGGAUAUUCCGACAGAAUAAUAAUGAACGGAAUAAUAGAAGAAUUUCACCAUGUAUGCGUUACUUCGCAUAAACAGGUUAUUCCAACAGGAUAAUAAGGAAUGGAAUAACAGAAGAAUUUCACCAAGUAUGCGGUACUUCGCAUAUACAGGUUAUUCCAAUAGAAUAAUAAGGAAUGGAAUAACAGAAGAAUUUCACCAAGUAUAGGGUAGUCCGCGUAUACAGGUUAUUCCAACAGAAUAAAAAAAAAUAGAAUAACAGAAGUUCUCUUCAUGAAUACGAAAGAAAUAAUACCCCUUACAGGUAUAACAAAUAAUAUCCCUUACCUUAUAAAGAAGAGUACUCCGACGGGUAGAGCGGUGAUAUACUUGAAGAAAACUUGCACAACACUCAAAGCUUUCUUAAACUCUAAAGAAAUACGCUCAAGAUUAUAGAAGAAGAAUUCUCUCUAUAGUUUUUCUCUCUAGAGUUUUAGUGAAUUCAUAGGAAAUAAUGAAGGAAUGAGCUUCUAUUUAUAGAAGAAUGGAUUGAAUAGUAACUAAUCCAUGAACGGUCCAGAUUGAUUUACUAUAAAAUAUUCUAAUAAAACAAAUCUUUUAAAUAAAAUAUAAUAUAUUCUAUUUAUAAUCUAAUAAAACGAAUAACUUUAUAAAAGUAUUAUGUUUUAUAUAAAAAGAUUUUACUAUGCAAAACACUAUGCAGACACUCUGCAACACAAUGUAUAAUAAAAUAUAAUAUAUUUUAUUUAUAAUCUAAUAAAACGAAUAACUUUAUAAAAGUAUUCUAUUUUAUAUAAAAAGCUUUUCUGUUUUAUUACAUUAAUAAUACUAAUAAAACAAAACUGAGUGACUUAUCACGUAAGCAUCAAUAAUCAAUACCGUGUGCUACUAUGCAACCACACAUAUUAUUGUACUUUUACUACCGAGUAGUUCAACAGUAUUAACGGUAAAACUUCCAUCGUUAUUUUCAUAAAAUAUUUUUGUCGCUUUCUCAAUCCGACAAUAAUUCCGUUGCGGGGUCCACCAAUGAUUGUGCCGGUGUACGAAUAUUCCCUGAUAAAAUGAAUAUUCCCCGAUCAAUCGAAUAUUAUAUAACAACUUGCAUACUUUGAAAAAUUUAUAAAUACUACCCACAACUAUAACAUUAUAUCAAAUCCACACCAUAAUAUUCAAAAAAAAAUUAUUUCGAGAAAAUUAAAUAUUUAUUCUUAAAAUCUGAGGUCUCACAAUCUCCCCUCCUUAUGAAAUUUCGCCCUCGAAAUUUACGUACGUACCUGGUAUGCCGAACAGAUGAGGACACUUCGUCAGAUUCUAACUCUUGAGGUUCUUGAGGUAUAACCUUUAAGCGUAGAAUAUAUUCCAGGAUUUUAACAGGUACAUCUUCAUACGUUAAAUUAUCUGUUAUCUUGUCCGGUUUUAAAUCAAUAAUGUGGUUCGGGUCGUCCACAUAUUUACGUAACAUUGAUACAUGAAAAAUGUUAUGAACACGCGGCAUACUUGGCGGUAAAACGAGUCUAUAGGCCACAGUUCCUACUUAAUCGAGGAUUUUAAAUGGGCCAAUAAAAUCGAGAGUUGAGAUUUCCUCUCUUCAUCGAUUCUUGCUUCUAGAAUAACGCCCUCUUGAACCUUCUUCUUCACAUUUCAUCAGAUUCGGAUGUGUAGCUUGAGCGGCUUUAACUUUAUCGAUUAAAGUCGAUUCUACUCGUAUAUUUGUUAUCUUCACGUUGGUCCUUAGAGUCUAUAACUCUAUCUUCAUCAUUUGUAAUUUAUACGAAAUGGGUUUUUAUACUGGGGUCAAUACAAAAUUUAAUUUCACGCUCUAGGGGUAAGCUAAGAAGUCUUCAGGAAUACGUCAAGAAAUUUAUUAAUAAUAGAAAUAUCAUUCAAAACUGUGACCCUCAUCCAAGACUUGGAUAGCACGUCACAUUGAUACCUAUCAACUUGCCACCGUUAUUCACGACAUCCCCUACGGAAAGUCUGGCUUCGGUGCAUUCCACACAAGGAAGUCGCCAGAUAAAGGCUCGGGACUCUUUACUUAUGGCUUGAUAUGACAGUGAUUGGCUUUAGUGGUUUGGUUGCUUGAAUUCGCAUAACAGGUUGGUUAGGAAUAUAAAAGCUAACAACCAUACGAAAAGCAUGAUGAUUAGUCAACCAAUCGAUUCCUAAAAUCACAUCAAAGGCAAGUAUUUUCAAAUAGAUAAGAUCGACAGGUAAAGUGAAAGUGUCGAUUUGAAUCAACAAGAUUUAUAAACAGUGUAGGUAAUGAAUGUUUCUCCUAACAGAGUUUCAACAGAUAAGUCAAAGUCUAAUUUCUCAAGAGUCAAAUUUAAACAUUAAGCGCAAGCAAGAGAGAUAAAAGAAUAGGUAGAACCGGUAUCGAAUAAGGUAUAGACUUCGUAAGAGCUUAUGAUUAACUUACCCGUAAUAACCUCGUUCGGGUUCCUCGACAAAUGCUCUCACUUAAACUACCGACUUUUGACUUAUCUAGGACAUCCCAGUUGGACUUAACUUUGCUGUAGAGUACAUUCCACCCUUAAUUGUUUCGUCACAUUCCUGAUCCAUGAUUUGAAUCAUUAUUCUCCGAUCCAUAUCGAAUUGGGGUUGACCGCUCUGCACAGGGUAAUUCCAAAUUCGAUGUUGGAUUCUCCCAAUUGUUGUCCAAAAAGCGAAAUCCAUUUCAUUUAUUUUGGCUUUAUUAGAUCGGACGUCUUUUUCUAUAAUAUCAACACGUCGUGCGGCUUUUACCCAUGCAUCAUCUAUUCUCAUUCGUUCAUUUGCUUCUUCUUUCAUCAGAACUUUGAUCAUAGAAUUCUCAGAUUCCAGCUCUAAUAUCUUAUAUUCUGCCAGAGAGUGUUUCUGUUCAAGCAUCGCACAUCAGGUAACACAAUUUUGAAUUGUUGUAUCUCUUUGCUCCACAACCGCCUGCCGUUCUUCAGUCUGCUCUUCCAACUCAUGAAUACGAUUUUGUAAUUCUAAAUUUUGAUCAUAAACUUCUUCUAACCAAUUCUCCUCAUGUUCCUCUUCUUCCUCUUCUUCCUCACUCUCAGCUGCUACCUCUGCAACUAGUUCGGGUGAAACUAUUAGUUCUUCACUUACCACGUAGAUAUCUCUAAUUUCUUCUUCGUCUGACAUCACAUUAACCUGGUUAGUGAUUAAAGGUGUCUCAAUGGUCUCAUUCACUCCAUUNNNNNNNNNNNNNNNNNNNNNNNNNNNNNNNNNNNNNNNNNNNNNNNNNNNNNNNNNNNNNNNNNNNNNNNNNNNNNNNNNNNNNNNNNNNNNNNNNNNNUAAAAAAAUUUCAUCAAUUUUUAUCGCUGAGACUCAGCUUAAUAAAUAAAUCACAUCAUCGAAUCAUCCCUGCACUACGGGCCAAGGAUAUUCAUUAAAUUAUCAAUGGUCAUGACUAUACCGAAUAAUCCAUGGUCAUAAUCUUACCAAAAACUGUCCAUCAAUGCACUACAGGCCACUGAAGAUUUUUACCACAUCAUUCGUCACAUUACGGUCAUGACUAUACCGAAUAAUCCCUUGUCAUAAUCACACCAAGUCCAUCUAUGCACGUAAGCCAAAUAUGACUUUUAUCACAAUAUAAACAUGAGAAUGAUGACAAUGAUAUAAGCAUUAAUCAAACGAAAAAAAGGAUAAAUAUUAAAGAUUUUAAAUUUAUCCAAAUAUUAUCAAUCACUUAAUAAACUCAUAAUCUAAUAUUAUUAAUAUUAUAACAAUAUUUUAAACACUUCUUAAACUUAUAAACAAUUUAUUUCUUUUGUUUAUACUUUACUAAAUAAUGCAUUUAAUCAUUCACAAAUGUCAUACUCAUAAGAUUUCAUCACCAAUGAUCAAAAAUCUGCAUAUACCCUAUAUAGGAUUUUCAAGCCAUAAAAUCCUAUUUUUCAACUUUGUUACUUCACAUAACAUAUUUAACUCAUAUGUUCGUAACUAAACCAUUUUCAUGAAAAAUAGCAAAUCAGUCCCAGAAAUAUUUCUUUUUUGGGAUUUAGCAGAAUAUAGUCCCAUAAUGAACAUAUAUUUUUUUCAGAAUUUUUAAAAUUCAUUUAUUAUUUUUCAAAAAAUAAAUUUCUAAUUAAUUCCUUAAGAAAAAAAUUAGCUACCUCAAGUUUAACUCCAGAAAUUCCCAACUCUUGGCAGGAUCUUACACAUGUUAACGUGAGCUUCCAGUUUAAAUUUCAUGGUCAUCGGAGUUAUAGAACUCCGGUUAUAGCAUUUUUCGUCGGAAAAACAUAAAUAUUAAAAUGGGCAUAACUUGCUCAUUUUAAGUCGGAAUGAGCUCAUUUUUGGACAGGAGGUACUUUAUACCAUAUACUUUUAUGUCCCAAACGGCAAGAAUUUUUCUCACAAAUUAAGUGGCCGACACAGCCCUUUUAAAUUUCUGGGCAGUAGCAUUUUUCUCUUUUACAGCUUUUGACUCCUUUGCUAAAAAUAGUCCACACGAAAAUCUACAAUACCUUUUCUAGUGAUUCCACUUGGAUAAGUUAGAAAACUCAUAGAUCUAACUUUAGAACUUGACCACGCCCAAAACUUCAAAAUAUAAUAGGAGAUAUGGUCAUUUGAAUUUCAUGUUCUAUUUUCACCAAAAUCUGAUUUUCAACUCUUUGUGAUAUCUAAGAAACUUUCAUGUUUUCACAUAAUAACCCACAUACUCAUCAUGAUAAUGACAUAAUAAUUCAAUAAAAUAAGUUCAAGAAUAAAUUUUAAAGAUUUAUAAGUUAAUUUAUCCUGAACUCAAUAAUGUCCAAAUUGGCAACAUAAUACUUCUUUGUAGAGUAAAAUUCAAGAAUGCUCAGAAGAAUAUUUCCAUGAAAAGAUAUUGGAUGAAGCGCAAAUAUCAAGGAUAUGCCACUAAUUUCAUGGAGUAUAGAAGUCAAAGCUUUAACCAACUGAGUAUAAGAGAAUAUAUGAAACUGCAAAUGGAUUUUCGUCCGCCAAGCGGUAAUCCACUUAGACAGAUCAUUUCCAUAAUUUAAUAAGGAAUGAAUACAAAGGAUCAUUCACCAUGCAUGUGAUAAUCCACAUAGAAAGGUUAUUCCAACAGAAUAAUAAAGUAUGGAAUAACAGAAGAAAUCACCAUGCAUGGGAUAGAUUGCACCGACAGGUUAUUCUCAACAGAAUAAUAAAUAAUGGAACCAGGUCAGGCGUAAUACGCACCGAUAGGAUAUUCCAACAGAAUAAUAAAGAAUGGAAUAACAACAGAAAUCACCAUGCAUGCGAUAGAUCGCACAGACAGGUUAUUCCAACAUAAUAAUAAAAAUGGAACCAGGUUAUGCGUAACGCACAGACAGGAUAUUCUGACAGAAUAAUAAAGAAUGGAACCAGGUCAUGCGUAAACGCACAGACAGGAUAUUCUGACAGAAUAAUAAUGAACGGAAUAAUAGAAGAAUUUCACCAAGUAUGCGGUACUUCGAAUAAACAGGUUAUUCCACGAGAAUAAUAAGAAAUGGAAUAACAGAAGAAUUUCACCAAGUAUAGGGUAGUCCGCGUAUACAGGUUAUUCCAACAGAAUAAAAAAAAUGAAAUAACAGAAGUUCUCUUCAUGAAUAUGAAAGAAAUAAUACCCCUUACAGGUACAACAAAUAAUAUCCCUUACCUUAUAAAGAAGAGUAUUCCGACGAGUAGGGCGGUGAUAUACUUGAAGAAAACUUGCACUACGCUCAAAGCUUUCUUAAACUCUAAAAAAUACGCUCAAGAUUAUAGAAGAAGAAUUCUCUCUAUAGUUUCUCUCUCUAGAGUUUUAGUGAAUUCAUAAGAAAUAAUGAAGGAAUGAGCUUCUAUUUAUAGAAGAAUGGAUUGAAUAGUAACUAAUCCAUGAACGGUCCAGAUUGAUUUACUUUUAAACGGACGGUCCAGAUUGAUUUACUAUAAAAUAUUCUAAUAAAACAAAUCUUUUAAAUAAAAUAUAAUAUAUUCUAUUUAUAAUCUAAUAAAACGAAUAACUUUAUAAAAGUAUUCUGUUUUAUAUAAAAAGAUUUUACUAUGCAAAACACUAUGCAUAAUAGAAUAUAAUAUAUUCUAUUUAUAGUCUAAUAAAACGAAUAACUUUAUAAAAGUAUUCUGUUUUAUAUAAAAAGCUUUUCUGUUUUAUUACAUUAAUAAUACUAAUGAAACAAAACUGAGUGACUUAUCACGUAAGCAUCAAUAAUCAAUACCGUGUGCUACUAUGCAACCACGCGUAUUACUGUACUUUUUCUACCGAGUAGUUCAACAGUAUUAACGGUAAAACUUUCGCCGUUAUUUUCAUAAAAUAUUUUUGUCAUUUUCUCAAUCCGACAAUAAUUCCGUUGCGGGGUCCACCAAUGUUUGUGUCGUUCUACGAAUAUUCCCUGAUAAAACGAAUAUUCUCCGACCAAUCGAAUAUUAUAUAACAACUUGCAUACUUUGCAAAAUUUAUAAAUACUACCCACAACUAUAACAUUAUAUCAAAUCCACACCAUAAUAUUCAAAAAAAAUUAUUUCGAGAAAAUUAAAUAUUUAUUCAUAAAAUCUGGGGUCUCACACCUAAGCUCUGAUACCAACUGUGACGCACCCAAAAUAGGUAUACAUCACCCAUUCUGAGUCGCCAAACACAUGAUACAGAAACAACUACAACUUUAAUAAUACAAUUGUCGUGCAAAAUACGACAACACUUAAACUGUGAGUUUUAAUACAAAUAUUGUCUUCUAGACAAUAUCCACACUCAAAUAAGUACUCAUUAUAAUUAUUGAUACACUAUUUCACAAAAUAGUGAGGACUACUAAAACAACUUCUAGAACCAUCAUUCCACUCCCCGACUAGUACUCGCUACAUUCUCGCCUCCUGAGAAGAAAAAUGGAAUAAAAAGGAAAAGGGUGAGCUCAACUAGCCCAUUAAAGAAUAUUAUGACUAAGAUAAUAUAGAACAAAUUAUCGUUAGUCUUCAAUAGGAAAAAAUAUGAUAGAGUAUAAUAGACAACAAGUUUCAGAUCAAUAUUCGCAGCGGAAAUAAUAAUUCAUAGAAGAGUUACGUAGAGAAUGAAAUCUACUAUUAUCUAUGAAUUUAAAAGUCCAUCAUCAAUAUUUUAUCCCUGUAACAUCAAUCAAUAUACGUCUUGAAUCAAAUAUUCAUCUUUGCACUGCAGGCCAAAGAUAUUCAUCAGUUGGUCAUGUUCAUCUCAACACCUGUACAUCUUUUCACUACGGGCCAAAGAUAUUCAUAAGAAAAUCAACCAUCUUUGCACUACAGGCCAAAGAUAUUCAGUAAUAUCAUCAUUUAGGACUGAGGAUGAUGAAAAAUAUUUUAAAGAAAACGAAUCCAGUGAAACAAAAGAGCAAAUAUUAAGGAUUCUUACUUUAAACAGUCCAAGUUCAAAAAUACUUAAUAAAUAACCACAGUGGAGUAAAAUUCAAGAAUGAUCAAAACAUAGAUACAAUCAAAGCUAGUAUCCAUAAUAGAUAUCUUGGAUAAAAAAUGAAAAUUUAAUUUUUCUGUGAAUAGUGUUGUAUUCGUGAAUAGUGCCGUAUAUGUGAAUAGUGCCGUAUACAUGAAUAGUAACCCCGACACUAAAAGACAAGAAUUUCAUAAGAAAAAUCUUACAGAUAUUCUAGUAUAAUGAUAUUAGAAGAAAUAAUAUCAUUUAUGAAAAAAUAGCAUCCCUUACCUCGAAAAGACAGUACUUCAGACUAGAAUACUGGAUAUAGUGCUGAAGGGAUAUUGCACCGUAUAGCAACACUCAAAGUAUCAAAAUAAUCACAAGAAUACGCUCGAUAGUAUAGAGAGAGAAAGAGAGAGAAAACUUGUUUCUGGUGUGAUUUUCAAUUCUAACCUAAGCACCCUAUUUAUAGGAAAAUGCUUAGAACACCAAAGUAGAAAAUUUAAUAAAAUAUUAAUAUUUUCAAAUUAUAUUCCUACGCACACUACACCAGACCAAAAUCAUCAGCCAUCCACCCCACAAAAAUAACAAAAAUGUUUUUCUUAAUUAAAAUAUUUUAAACUUCAAAAAUUAAUUAUUUCGGAACUUCGGAACUUUAAUAAUUCAUAUUAAAUAGCCCUUUUAUCAGAAAAAUUCAAAUCUUAUGUUCAUUCCAUAGGAAAUUUAAUUCUCUACAACUUUGCAGAAGAAAGUUUUUUCAAAUUCUAAACAGAAGUUGACCUAAAUCUACAUACAGACGAUUUUACAGGCUAUAAUCAAAUUUUAGUCAAGAAAUGGGGUCCAUCAACACACAAAACAUGUUUUAAAUAUUUUAAGUAAUAAAAAUACUAUUCCUCCUCAUUUAUUCAAAUAUCCCAUAUUUAUUGUAAAAAUAUCACCAUUAUUAUAUUAUUAUAAUAUAAUAAUAUAUUUAAAUGAAUUAUUUUAUCAGAAAAAGAUAAAAUAACAAUUUUCAACAAUUGUCACAUUAAAAAUUUUCUCCAUCCAUAUCCACAUAAAAUGAAUAUUUUUCUUAUCAUAUAAAUUAAUAAUUAAUUAUUCAUAAAUAAUAUUACAGAAUCACAAUAUCGACAACCAGGCCGUUCCCAAGAAAGAGGGGGCUUUCCAAUAAGGAUUUUUCCUUACUGGGGCGAAAUUAGGUGACCAAACCUCUCCUUAGACAAAACUUUUUAGACAAUGUCAAUAAUGCUAUCUAAUAAUAUUAUUAAAAUAAUAUGAAAUAUUGAUCUGAUAAUGAAAAAUACUAUGCAGUGACAAUUAUUAAAACAACAAUAAUAUAAAAUAUCAACGUAGCAAUUAUUGAAUCAAUAAAAUAUUGAACAGUAAUUACUGUAACAAUUAUUGAGUAGUACCUUCUUACGUAAGAAUCAAAUACCGUGUGCUACUAUGUUUUAACCACCGAGUAUUUCAACAGUAUUAACGGUAACAACUACGCCGUUAUUUAUAAACAACUUAUACUUGUCGUUUUCUUCAUCCAAUCGCUUUUCGUUAUGGGGCCCACACAAGGCUGCGCCGUCGUACGAAUAUUCCCCGACAACAAGAAUAUUCCACGACCAAACGAAUAUUUCCCGACAAUAAUGAAUAUUUUAUAACCACUUGCUUAUUUAAAAUAUUUGCGUAUUUUACCCAUAACUAACCACAUUAAUCAAAUCUACCCUUACUAUUUUAAAAUAAUAAAUAGAGGAAAUUCAAUUUCAUUUAUAAUAAGUUGGGGUCUUAUAACAUGGAUACAAUCAAAGCUAGUAUCCAUAAUAGAUAUUUGAGAUAAAAAAUGAAAAUUUAAUUUUUCUGUGAAUAAUGCCGUAUUCGUGAAUAGUAUCAUAUACGUGAAUAGUAAUCCCGACACUAAAAGACAAGAAUUUCACAAGAAAAAUUUUACCAAUAUUUCGGCAUAAUGAUAUUGAAAGAAAUAAUAUCAUUUAUAAAAAAAAAACAUCUCUUACCUCCAAAAAAAUAGUACUUCUGACUGGAAUACUGGAUAUAGUGCUGAAGGAACUUACACCGUAUAGCAACACUCAAAGUAUCAAAAUACUCACAAUAAUACGCUCGAUAAUAUAGAGAGAGAAAACUUAUUUCUGGUGUGUUUUUCAAUUCUAACCUAAGCACCCUAUUUAUAGAAAAAUGCUUAGAACACCAAAGUAGAAAAUUUAAUAAAAUAUUAAUAUAUUUAUAUAAAUUUUUCUUAGCCCACUUUUUUGGUCAAGACAUCAGCUAUACAAGUGACAAAAUCACCCAAAACGUUUUUUUAAAUAAAAAUAUUUAAAACUCCAAAGAUCGAUUCAAACCCGAUAUACCGGAACUUCAAUAAUUCACAAUAAAUAGCCCUUUUAUCAGAAAAAUUUAAAUCUUAUGUCCAUUUCAUAGGAAAUUCAAUUCUCUACAACUUUGCAAGUUUAAGUUUUUCCAAAUUCAAAGCAGAAAUUGACCGAAAUUCACAUACGGACGAUUUUACAAGCUAUAAUCAAAUUUCAGUCAAAAAAUGGGGUCCACAAACAUGAAAAAUAUGUUUUAAAUAUUUUUAGUAACAAAAAUACUCUUCCUCCUCAUUUAUUCAUAUAUCCCACAUUCAUUGUAAAAAUAUCACUAUUAUUAUAUUAUUAAAAUAUAAUAAUAUAUUUAAAUUAAUUAUUUUAUCAGAAAAGAUAAAAUAUCAAUUUUCAACAAUUGUCACAUNNNNNNNNNNNNNNNNNNNNNNNNNNNNNNNNNNNNNNNNNNNNNNNNNNNNNNNNNNNNNNNNNNNNNNNNNNNNNNNNNNNNNNNNNNNNNNNNNNNNNNNNNNNNNNNNNNNNNNNNNNNNNNNNNNNNNNNNNNNNNNNNNNNNNNNNNNNNNNNNNNNNNNNNNNNNNNNNNNNNNNNNNNNNNNNNNNNNNNNNNNNNNNNNNNNNNNNNNNNNNNNNNNNNNNNNNNNNNNNNNNNNNNNNNNNNNNNNNNNNNNNNNNNNNNNNNNNNNNNNNNNNNNNNNNNNNNCUUCUUAUGUAAGAAUCAAUAAUUGAUGCAAUUCCGUGUUCUACUGUGUUUUAACCACCGGAUGUUCCAACAGUAUUAACGGUAACAACUACGCCGUUAUUUAUAAACAACUUAUACUUGUCAUUUUUUUCAUCCAAUCGCUUUCCGUUAUGGGGCCCACACAAGGCUGCGCCGUCGUACGAAUAUUCUCCGACAGUAAGAAUAUUCCACGACCAAACGAAUAUUCCCCGACAACAAUGAAUAUUUUAUAACCACUUGCUUAUUUGAAAUAUUUGCGCAUUUUACCCAUAACUAACCACAUUAAUCAAAUCAACCCUUACUAUUUUCAAAAUAAUAAAUAGAUAAAUUUUAAUUUCAUUAAUAAUAAGUUGGGGUCUUACAGUCAACGAGGUUUGACUGCUCAUAUCUUUCAAUCUACUAAUGAUCUGAGCUUCAUUGUUGUUGCAGAACAAAGACCACAUAACAUCCUACAAGUACAAACAUUUAAAACACUAAAACCAUUACCAGACACCGAUCUAUGAUGCCUGACAUUUGCUUGUCAGACGAAAAUUUCUAACUUUUCCAGAUUUAAGAAAUCUUCAAUUUCGAGCAUCAAAAUGAUAUGGAUCUAAGUUUUAGCAACCCAGAUCAUCAAAUGACACCCUCUAACAUGACUCUAAACAACAAAUUACAAAAUCAAACAUCAAAUCAUAAGAUUUAGAAAUUUUAGGGUUUUAUACCUUUAAAACUUUGAUCUUGAAUCUGAUCCUUAUGAUCUGAUCUUGUAAAUCUAAAAGCUGAUAAUUGCUUUAUUUCUCACCCACUCCCACUCUCAUACACGAAUUUUAGAGAGAGAAAAGGUCUUGGCUAUUUUGAGAAAGUCAAGUGAACUUAAUCUUUUAUUUUUUUCCUUGAUGCAUGUAUCUAGUUGGUGCAAGGUAGCUGAAAUUGCUGAGAUUUGUAAGAUAUAAAACACAUGCUAAGGCUAUGGUUUGGUGAACAACUCACCUAAGGUCAAAACCUACUCACCAACUUAUUAAAAAAUACAAAAAAGGCAUAAUAGUCUUUUUGCAAACAAAAUUAAUGGCAUAAAUGACACUUUAACCAACCCUUAGGGUUUGGACCCUUAGGGUUUGGACCCUUAGGGUUUGACUCUUAGGGUUAAAAUCUAAAGUUUUUAUAUUUACAAAUUUCUAGGAUUUUCAACUUAGAUUUUCAAAAUAGAAAAUUAUGAUUUUUAAAUUAUAAUUAGGGUUUCCUAAUUAUAUUAUAAUUUUCUAAUCACAUUAGGACUUAAACAAAUUAGGAUUAAUAUUUUCUAAUUAAUAUUGCUAAUUUAGCAAUUAAAUUCACAAUUGAACACUAGGGUUUCUGACGGAACAAUUAGGGUUUAAAAAAUUUAAAAUUAGGGUUUGCUAAUUAAUUAAGCUUUAUCUUAAUUAAUAUUAUAAUUAAUAUCACUUAAGCAUUAUAAUUAUCCUUUAAGUUCCCAGAUUAUGGUUUUAAAUUCUGAAUUAGGGUUUUAAAAUCCCCGAAACUGAAAUUAGGGUUUCAGAACCGGUUUCUAGGGUUUCUUAUCAAACGUUAGGAUUUUCUAACAGAACGUCGAUAUUCGACAAUAAUCUUACGGUUUGACACUGAUAAAAUUUAUCUGGUCAACCCUUGACCCUUAACUACAUACUGUACACAUAGAUGAUCAUAUACACAGAACAUAUUCACUCAUAUACUUAAUCUUGAAUAAUUCACUAAAAUCCUACACAGAAUUUUGAAAUCCUCAAAAUUUCUUCUCAAAAAUAUCAAGCGCGUACACUUAUUUUCUGUCUAGGUCUAUUAUUUGACCUUAAAUCCAUCAUUUAAGAUUUUAAUAAAUUAUCUAAUUUCUCAGGUUGUCACAUUCACCCCUUCUUUUAUACCCUAAUUAAUAUUAUAAUUAAUAUCACUUAAACAUUAUAAUUAUCCUUUAAGUUCCUAGAUUAGGGUUUUAAAUUCUGGAUCAGGGUUUCGAAAUCCCCAGAACUGAAAUUAGGGUUUCAGAACCAAUUUUUAGGGUUUCUUAUCAGACGUUAGGGUUUUCUAACAGAACAUCGAUAUUCGACAAUAAUCUUAGGGUUUGACACUGAUAAAAUUUAUCUAGUCAACCCUUGACCCUCAACCACAUAUUGUACACAUAGAUGACCAUAUACAUAGAACAUAUUCACUCAUAUACUUAAUCCUGAAUAAUUCACUAAAAUUCUACACAGAAUUUUGAAAUCCUCAAAAUUCCUUCCCAAAAAUAUCAAACGUGUGAGACCCCAAAUUUUAUGAAUAAAGAUUUAAAUUUCUUGAAAUAUUUUUUUUUAAUAUAAUGGUGUGCAUUUGAUAUAAUGUUAUAGUUGUGGGUAAUAUUUAUAAAUUUUGCAAAGUAUGCAAGUUGUUAUAUAAUAUUCGAUUGGUCGGAAAAUAUUCUUUUUGUCGGGGAAUAUCCGUACGACGGCACAAUCAUUGGUGGACCCCACAACAGAAGUAUUGUCGUAGUUAGAAAAUGACAAAAUUAUCUUUUUAUAAAAAUAACGGCGAAAGUGUUACCGUUAAAACUGUUGAACUACCCGGUAGUAAAAAUACAGUAAUACGCGUGGUUGCAUAGUAGCACACGGUAUUGAUUAUUGAUGCUUACGUAAGAAGUCACUCAGUUAUACUCAAUUAUUGCUACAGUAAUUGCUGCAUCAUAUCUCUCAUAUUAUUGAUUCAAUUAUUGUCACAGUAUCAUCUGCAUAAUAUGUUAUAUUAUUAAAUCAAUAAUUGAGACGGCAAAGUUAUUCAUAUUAUUAAUUGCAAUAUUGACAAUAUCUAUAAGUUCUGUCAAGGAGAGAUUUGGUCACCUAAUUGCGCGCCAAUAAAGGAGAAAUCCUUAUCGGAAAGCCCCCUCUUUCUUGGGAACGACCUGGUUGUUAAAUAUUAUGAGUUAUAAUAUUAAUGAUGAAUAAGUUCGUGUUGAUUAAAGAUAAAAUUGAUAAUUCCAUUGUGUGGGAAUUAUUAGUGUUAGUGGAAAUCAAUAUUUAUUUCGAUAAUAAUUGAUGUCUGGAGGUUAUAUUGACCAAUCGGGUAAUUAACCGGAUAAAUGAGCAAUUAAUUGCUAUUGAUUCACAUGAUUAUAAUUAUUUAUUCACAUGUGUGUACUAUUGAUUCACAUUCAUUUAUUAUUAGGGGAGUUGGUGCAAGAUUGAUAAUACUUGCAUGACUAAGUUAAAAAUGGAGGUAUAGAUGGAGGUACUAUACUGUAAUGCGUAUUUUCACAUGUCUAAAACUAUUGAGUCACAUGAUUUACUAUUGAUUCAUAUGAUUUACUAUUAGGGGAGGUGGUGCAAGUUUGAUAAUACUUGCACGACUAAAUUAAAAAUGAAAAAAAAGAUGAAGGUAUUAUACUGUAAUAUUUCGAGCCCCAAAAUGUGUAAUUAUCGAAACUAUAUUUUCCUAUAAAUAGAAGUUCAUUCCUUCAUUAUUUUUCACCAAUUCACUAAAGCUAUAGAGCAAUUAUUAUAGAGANNNNNNNNNNNNNNNNNNNNNNNNNNNNNNNNNNNNNNNNNNNNNNNNNNNNNNNNNNNNNNNNNNNNNNNNNNNNNNNNNNNNNNNNNNNNNNNNNNNNNNNNNNNNNNNNNNNNNNNNNNNNNNNNNNNNNNNNNNNNNNNNNNNNNNNNNNNNNNNNNNNNNNNNNNNNNNNNNNNNNNNNNNNNNNNNNNNNNNNNNNNNNNNNNNNNNNNNNNNNNNNNNNNNNNNNNNNNNNNNNNNNNNNNNNNNNNNNNNNNNNNNNNNNNNNNNNNNNNNNNNNNNNNNNNNNNNNNNNNNNNNNNNNNNNNNNNNNNNNNNNNNNNNNNNNNNNNNNNNNNNNNNNNNNNNNNNNNNNNNNNNNNNNNNNNNNNNNNNNNNNNNNNNNNNNNNNNNNNNNNNNNNNNNNNNNNNNNNNNNNNNNNNNNNNNNNNNNNNNNNNNNNNNNNNNNNNNNNNNNNNNNNNNNNNNNNNNNNNNNNNNNNNNNNNNNNNNNNNNNNNNNNNNNNNNNNNNNNNNNNNNNNNNNNNNNNNNNNNNNNNNNNNNNNNNNNNNNNNNNNNNNNNNNNNNNNNNNNNNNNNNNNNNNNNNNNNNNNNNNNNNNNNNNNNNNNNNNNNNNNNNNNNNNNNNNNNNNNNNNNNNNNNNNNNNNNNNNNNNNAAAAGAUAAUAGAUUUUAUGCUUUACUUGACUCUUCUAAUGGAUUGCUUAUUUUCGCUGCAGUUGUUGAUCUAAAACUUGUUGUCUAUUGUAUUCUAUCAGUUGUUAUACUGUUGAAGGCUAAGGAUAAUUUAUUCUGCAUUAUCUUAGUCAUAAUAUUUCUUACUGGGCUAAUUGAGCUCACCCUUUCUUUCAUUGUUCUCUUCAGGAAAUGAGAAUUUAGCGGGGACGAGUUGGGGAGCGGAGUGACGGUCCAGAUGAUAGCAUUAGUAGUCCUCACUAUUCUAUUAAAUAGUGUGACAAUAAAUGUAAUGAGGACUCCAUUGAGUGUGGAUAUUGUCUAGAUGAUAAUAUUCUUAUUAAAACUCUCAGUUUAUGUUUUGUUGUAUUUUACACGACUGUUGUAUAAUUAAAUUGUAUUUGAAUUUUGUACCAUGUAUAUGGCGACUCAAGAUGGGUGAUGUAUACCUGUUUUGGGGGCGUCACAAAACGCAUACACUUAUUUUCUGUCUAGGUCUAUUAUUUGACCUUAAAUCCAUCAUUUAGGAUUUUAAUAAAUUAUCUAAUUUCUUGGGUUGUUACAAUUAAAAUCUAUAAAUUCUACAAAAGUUUGUCACUUAAAAAAAGUCUUUAAAAAUCUUAAUUGAAUACACCCCCCAAAAUUUAAUAGUGCGAGCAUGAAAAAUGUAUUUACGUAAUAUAUAUAUAUAUAUAUAUAUAUAUAUAUAUUAUUCUCAAUUAUUUUAUAAUUAAAAUAAAAAUUUAUUUUAAUUUUAAAAUAAAAGGUUUAUUUUAAUAUUAAUAUAAAAAUUUAUUUUAAUUUUAAAAUUAGAAUNNNNNNNNNNNNNNNNNNNNNNNNNNNNNNNNNNNNNNNNNNNNNNNNNNNNNNNNNNNNNNNNNNNNNNNNNNNNNNNNNNNNNNNNNNNNNNNNNNNNUUUAUUUAAAUUCAAAGUUUAUUCAUCUACAUUAUUACUAUCAUAAUUAUAUAUUUAUCACUAUCUCUUAUUCUCAUACAUUUUUUUAAUUUGGUUAGUGUUUCUUUAAAAUUCAUAUUCUUGUUAACAAUAAUAUUUAAUUAUAUAAUUUUUAUUAUUAUUACAUUAUAUUUAUAAGUAUAACUAUUUGGGUUUAAAUAAGAUUUUACUAUUACAUAAAUAUAUCAAUAUAUGAAUACACAAACAAAUAAAUUAUUAGUUUAAAGAUAAAUACUAUCAUUUAUAUUAUGGCCUAAAUAUAGAUUAAUAACCUGAACUUUUAAAAAAAAAUUCACUUUGGAGAUUGUCUUUUCAAUUUUUUUCAAUUAGGGGAUUAAACUUUUUAUUUUUUUUUACUUUUGGGGAUUGUCUUCUCAAUUUUUUCAAUUAGGGGAUUAAACUUUUAAUUUUUUUUAAUUACGUCUAAUUAAUAGCGCCACGCCAGAAAAUUGAUGACAUUGUAGCGACAUGUAACUAAAAAAAUACUUGUGUAAUAUUGAGUCUCAUUUUAACAUUUAUUCAAUUAAUUUUUUGUACCAAAAAUAAUAAAUAUAAGACCAUUAUUAAUUUUUUAAUGAAAAUUUUACCUAUUUCUAUAAACAAUUAAUUUUAUUGAUUAUUGAUAAUUAUGCUAUAAACAAUUAAAUUUUGACACCUAAUCUCUUACGUAACACUAAUUAAUUUUAAAAAUAAAUAAAAAGACAUGUGUCAAAAUUUAAGUGGGGAAACACAAGGGGACAUGAAAUCUGGAGACAAAGGACAUGCUCUCCUAACUGAAAUCCCAAUGAGGAUAUUAUAAAAAAAUGGGUUCUUUAUAAAAAUAUACAACAAUUAGAAAGUAAUUACAUCAUUAGUGCAUCAACAAAAUAAUUAUAAAAAAAGUGUAAUUAAUACCCAUAUUACAAAAAUAGUACAAUUCACAUUAAUAAAGAAACCUAAAAUUAAGGAGAAAUAACUGCCAUAAUUAAUAAUUCAAAAUCAAAUAUUUGGGAUCUAACAACAAAAACAUAUUCAAAUUCAAAUUCAAAAUAAUAAUUCAAAUUCAAAUUUUCAUCUCCCUUUCCAUAUUUUCUCUCUCCUUUGUAACUAAAAAAUUCCAUCUAGCUCGUUCAUGGUGUAUGUUUAUCAGAUCUGAAUCUGCAUCUUCCAUUCUCUAAAAUAACUUCAGAUUUCUCUCCACUUGAUUUGCGUACUGAUAUAUGAAAGACUUUUUCACAUUCUGCAACCAAUGUAACAGAAUUAGCAACUAUUCGCAAUCACCAUAUGCUAAAUAGCCAGACAAAACACGAACAACCAAAAUAAAACAAAUAGAAGAAGAAGAAGAAGAAGUCGGAGUUACCAAAAUAAAUCAAAGAAGAAGAAGUCGGAGUUACCAAACCAGCAAGAACAGAUCCAAAACGAAUUCGGAGUAGCCGAACAAAGAGAAAAUCACAAGCAAAUUUUUUUUAUGAAUAUUUGGUUACCCACAAAAACUAAAAUGGUUACCUUUGUAUGAAGGUUUGACUACCAACUGCACCAUAUUCAAAAUAAUUUUAUUUUUAAAAGUUUAUUUAAAAGUAACUAACAGCUACAUAAAUAGAAACUUAGACAUGGCAUUUCGGAUACCAUCUACACGUAACAUUUGGAAACUGUUCUUAUUUUUUUUUUUAUUAAUUGGUAACCCAAUAAAACUGAAUUGGUUACCUUUUUAUGAAGGUUUGGCUACCAACUUAUGAAUAACAUUUUAAAAAUAAAAUUAUUAUGAAUAUGGUGCAGUCUGCCAAACCUUCGUACAAAGGUAACAAAUUUAAUUUUUGUGGGUAACCAAAUUUUCAUAAAAAAAAAUUACAAAGCCAUAAAUUGCAAUAGAAAACAUAACAUGACGAGCCCUUAUGCGUGGCCCAACUUGGAUAAAUGUUUUAGGUGUAGACUACCUGGGCACAACUCUAAUCAAUGUUCUAAAAGAGGCAGUGUGAAUUUGAUGGAGGCAGAGAAUAAAGAAUGUGAACUGCAAGAAGAUGAACAAAGAGAAACUUCUUAUGGUAUGACAAUGUUGGAGUGACAUAAGGUGAUGAUGGCGAUAUGCUUUCUCUUGUUGUGAGAAAGAUACUUAUGGCCCCGAAACAGGAUGAGUACCCUCAAAUGAAUAAUAUCUUCAAAACCCGAUGCACUGUUCAUGGGAAGGUAUGUGAUUCAAUUAUUGAUAGUGGCAACACUGAAAAUAUUGUGUCUAGGUUAAUAGUUAACAAGUUGGGACUGUCUAGGUUAAUGGUGGAGGAGGACGUUAAUGGUGGAGAAGGGCGGAGGAGAAGACUGACAAAGGCGGAGGAGGCGUGAUUUUUAUUAAGGAAAGAGAAGGUGUGCUAUAUAAUUUAUUUUUUAAUUACUUAAUUUAAUAAGUAAAUCAAUACUAAUCCCCUAAAUUAAGGAAUUCUAAUUGCAUACAAAUUCUCUAAAUUAAGGAAUUCUAAUUGCACUAAUAUUAUAAAUAAAUAUAAAAAUAUAUUAAUUAUGUAAAUAUUUUAUAAAUGCACUAUUAUUAUAAUUAUUUUUAAAAAUGUAAUAGAAUAUGUAAUUGUCCCUAAAAAAAAUUAAGGCCCAAAAUCCGGACAGUCAUUCUCCAAGUUGUCAAGGGCAAAACUGUAAUCAUAAACCCAUACAUAGGCUAUAUGUUACAGUACCCUGAUUUAGGGUUUAGUCAUCCCCUAUCUCUCACUCAUCUUCACUCUCUCACCUCAAUCAGAUCGGAAAACAACAUGGUAGGCUUUGAAAUCGGCGCCGUCCCCUUCAACCCCGACGGCUGGGGACCGGUUGAACCCUCCGCCGGAACCAGCACUUCUCUCCUCCCCAACCACCCCGUCAACGUUCCCUUCGCUCCCUUUUCUCGGUCCGACAAGCUGGGUCGGAUCGCCGACUUCACUCGCAACAACCCCAAUUCCAACAACCCUAGAAGCGCUCGCGGUAACCCUGCCGACUCCGCCUUCGACUUCACUGGCGACGAUUCCUUCGCCGGUAAUGCAGACGACGAUGCCUCCUUCCGCCUCGUCGACGGAAAACCACCUCCCCGCCCCAAAUUUGGACCCAAGUGGCGCUUCAAUCAGCACUACCACAACAACCGCAAUCAACUUCCCCAGCGCCGCGACGAAGAAGUUGAAGCCCGCAAGCGCGAGGCCGAGCGCGACCGUGCCCGCCGUGAUCGACUCUACAACCUCAAUCGGUCCGGCGGACAUAACACACGCCGGGAAGCCGCUGUCUUCAAAUCAUCCGUCGAUAUUCAACCGGAAUGGAACAUGCUGGAUCAAAUCCCCUUUUCCACCUUCACUAAACUCUCCUUUUCGGUACCCGAACCUGAAGACCUUCUCAUAUGCGGUGCCCUUGAAUUCUACGACCGCUCUUAUGAUCGAAUUACUCCCAAAAACGAGCGCCGCCUUGAGAGAUUUAAGAAUAGGAACUUUUUUAAGGUCACAACUACUGAUGACCCUGUUAUUCGCCGUCUUGCAAAUGAGGAUAAAGCUACGGUCUUUGCAACGGAUUCAAUUCUCUCUACGCUAAUGUGUGCUCCCAGGUCAGUUUAUUCGUGGGAUAUUGUGAUUCAGCGAGUUGGGAAUAAGUUGUUUUUUGAUAAACGUGAUGGGUCUCAGUUAGAUUUGCUUGCGGUUCAUGAAACUUCCCAGGAGCCAUUGCCCGAGGCUAAGGAUGAUAUCAAUUCCGCUUAUUCUUUGAGUGUGGAGGCAGCCUAUAUUAAUCAGAAUUUCUCGCAGCAGGUUUUGGUUAGGGAUGGGAAUAAGGUGACUUUUGAGGAGUCGAAUCCUUUUGCCAAUGAGGGUGAAGAGGUGGCUUCUGUUGGAUAUAGGUAUAGGAGAUGGAAGUUGGAUAAUGAUAUGUACUUGGUGGCAAGGUGUGAGGUGCAGAGUGUUGUUGAGGUUAAUAAUACAAGGUCCUUUUUAACAUUGAAUGCUCUUAAUGAGUUUGAUCCCAAGUAUUCGGGUGUUGAAUGGAGACGAAAGUUGGAGACGCAGAGGGGUGCUGUUUUGGCUACUGAGUUGAAGAAUAAUGCGAAUAAGUUGGCAAAAUGGACUGCACAAUCACUUUUGGCUAGUGCAGAUUUGAUGAAAUUAGGGUAUGUUUCGAGGGUUCAUCCAAGGGAUCAUUUUAACCAUGUUAUAUUGGCUGUGGUUGGAUAUAAGCCCAGGGAAUUUGCGACGCAGAUAAAUUUGAAUGUAUCAAAUAUGUGGGGGAUAGUUAAGUCUAUUGUUGAUUUGUGUAUGAAGUUGAAUGAGGGGAAGUAUGUACUUGUAAAGGAUCCUUCAAAGCCACAGGUGAGGAUUUAUGAGGUUCCGGCUGAUGCUUUUGAGAAUGAUUAUGUGGAGGAGCCAUUGCCAGAAGACGAACAGGUGCAGCCUCCUGCGGAGAAUGAAGAUGGUGGGGAGACAACUGUAGCAGCUGCAAAUGAUGUGGAUGACAAGGAGAUUAAGGCUGAAGCUUAAAAUGGGUAAUCAUUUUUUGCCUUCAUAUUAAAUCAGAGGUAUAUUUAUAAUUGUGGUGUUGUCUAGGAAUUUGGUGUAUCUUCCUUGAACUGUUUUGAGUGUAUGAAUCAACUAGUUUAAUGUGGCUAGAUAUUGAGUUUGUGCAUAAUUUUGAUUCUAAAGCUUUAGUUAGCAGACCAGGGGAUGAUGUAGUAUUAGGUCCGAAUUUAAAAAUAUACUUUGGGACAAACAACAUUUAUUUACUCCAGAAGAUAUACUUUAAUUGUAUGCGUGAAGAUGUUUUCUUAUUUUUUACAAGUUCAAUAACUGAAAGGUAGUUAUGAUUAUAUAUUCUUGAACAGUAUUGAAGUUAUUCAUAUUUGGUUCUUUGUUAAAUUUCUAUUCACGUAUUGAAAUGAAUAAAAUAACUGUUCAAAUGCAGUCAGGUUGCCAUUGUCUGUUUUUAGUCUUACUAUGUAUAAGGUUCCUAGUUUUUAUUUUCCUUGCGAAAGAAAUUUUUGGGUUGCUAACUAAGCACUCCUCCUAGUUUUACCCCUUUUCUGCAUUACCUGAGCAGAUAACCAAACUAUAACGUAGACUACUUUUGGUUUGAUUUAAAUUCUUGCAAGUUGGGGCUUGGUUCUAGGACAGGGGUUGGUAAAAGAUAUCAACAUUUGUUUAAUUGGAAUUUGGUAUUACUUGGUCACUUUAAUUUGUUUAUAUUUUGUUUAUAAUUAAUUAUUUACUUGUUGAGGAGCAUCAAAAGUCAUAAUUGAAACCAAGGGGUUAAAGCUUUUUGUAAGGAGGUUUGGUUUAAUAAGUCUAACUAGAACUUAGGUAAUAAUCUAAUAUUGAACUGGCCCUGGUUUAUUACCCAACCGAACUGAGAAGCCCCAUCUUCAAUUUUGGGUAUCUCAUUGCGAGUGGAAUGUAAAUUUGUAGUGCAAUGGGUUUGGGAAGAUACUAGUAAAGCAUAUAGUGUCUGUAGGGAAUAGUAUACAUCGUUCUAUCAUAAUUUUUGUUUGAUUUGGAGCUACACUUAUAUAUAUAUAUAUAUAUAUAUAUAUAUAUAUAUAUAUAUGGAAUUGAACUCUAUAAUGAAUCAAUUACAAAACCAAGCCAAGACUUGAAUAGUCAUGUUUGUUCCGGGCUAGAACUUUGGUAAUAAUCUAAUAUUGAACUGGCCCUGGUUUAUUGCCCAACUGAACUGAGAAACCCCAUCUGCAAUUUUGGGUAUCUCAUUGCGAGUGGAAUGUAAAUCUGUAGUGCAAUGGGUUUGGGAAGAUACUAGUAAAGCAUAUAGUGUCUGUAGGGAAUAGUAUACAUCGUUCUAUCAUAAUUUUUGUUUCAUUUGGAACUACACUGUAAAGUUAUAUAUAUAGAUAUAGAGAGUAAGGGUGAACAUAAACCAGGCUACAAAUUUACAUAAUAGGCAACUCUGUUUUUUUCGAACUUAAUUAUUUAUUUGCUUCUCUAACCUAAACCCAUUGAGAGUUAUCAAAAAUCUAUAAAGUGAGCUGAAAUGGUCUGUGAUUACAAAUUUAAUAUGAUAGUCUAUCAGAGCUCAUGUCCUCGUCUAUUUAUUUUCUUCACAACCUUUUAAUUUGAUUGCUGGGGCAUGGGCCCAAUGGAUAGCUUGUAUUUAGUUAAAAUUGUAGAUGGGAAGAUUUGAAGAAAGCUUUGGCUGCUUGUCAACGGCCAAUAAAUUUUGAGGCUGCAUAUUAAAACUCCUUGAUUAGCAUAUGAUAGUGGUAGUAGGCUUCAAACUUCCUCCAUUUUUUCAAGUGUGCAUAUAAUUAAUUAUUGAUUCAGCAUUUGAGACAUAUAUAUUCAUGUAUUACAUAAAUGGUUUAGUUUAUAUUAUGACUUCAAACGUAGUUUGUAGAUGUGCAUUUUUUUUCUGUGGCUAAAUUAGUAAUGUACACCUUUCGUCCUCAAAAGGAUGAGCUAAGUACACACAAAUUAAGAAAAGUAAAGUUGCGGAAAGAAAAUAAAAAAAGUUUUAAAUUUACCUUAGUGGGCCCACAAGAUUACAUAAAGUGGUGAGUCCUUGUAUUUUUUUAUACUAAUGGACCACACUAAAUAACAUACCAUUUAUUUUAUGUAUACAAAAAAAAUAGUACUUUGAUUUAUCCUUUUGACAGAGGGAGUAUUAAAAAAGAAGCAAUGCACAAUGGCAUUGGGGCAUUCCCCGGAAUACUAUAUUCUGAAAACAGAGUUGUGCGGUCAUGCUAUAGAUACAAAGAUAGAUUAAAACAGACAACAAAUUUAAGGAAGUUUACAGACUAUAAAAGCCAAUGACUCAAGAUAGAGGACGAUCAAUCUGCCAUGUGUAAUGUCUUAAAAGGAGUGAGACCUGCAUUUGAUGGUGUGAAUGAUAUCAUUGAGAACGAUUAUGCACUGAACCCUACACUUGGUCAUACUUUUUGCAUGGUUCUUUUAUGAAUAGCUUCUUCUGCCUUACUGCCUUAACCUUUUAAAUGGUCAUUUGUCUAAUCAAUAACUUUUACAAUUGUUGUGGAUGAAAGUAUUUGCAUUAUGUUGGAUUAUAUCCACCUUGGCAGCCGGAUCUGUAGAAGUUUUCUGUCAGGCCCUUGUUGAUUCCCGACCAAAAAAUAAGGGAGAAACAGAGAUAAACAUAGAAAUAAGUGAUAAUUCAGAGAAUAAGGAAGGAAGGAGAAGACCUCAACCUGAGUUCGUGAGACUAAGAGAGAUAUAGAGAGAGCUUGAACAAACUCUACCUAUUUCUUUCACAAAUUGUAUAAUAUUCAAAAGUUGGAUGUUACUCCACCCAUUAGAAAAAGUGUAAAUACUUCUAACUUAUACCAUUCUCUUAUCCUACACACACAUGCUAACUAACCACCCAUGUGCAUACAAAAUAUCUAACUAUAAUAUACUACCUACUCUUUCCUUCCCAAUUUAACCCUUACCUGACAUUCCCUCCUCCUUUAGAACAUUCAUGUCCUCUUGAAUGAGUUCUGAGUUAGUUCCCUCUUUAAAUUUCUUAGAAAAACCAUCUACACCUAUGUUAACCUUUCCCUGAUGAUGAAAUCAUAUCUCAGAAGCUUGUUCUUCCAUCUUUGUUGCAGGCAUGUCAUCGCCUUCUGUUUUAAAAAGUACUUCAAGGACGAGUGGUCUGUUUUGAUAAUGAACUGUCUCUACCCUAAAUAAGAAGACGAUCUCUCAAUAGCUUCCGUUACAACCAUUUAGGUUGAGUAAUUAUGAGGUUUAGAACCAAAAACUUUACUAAAAUAAUCAAGGGGCCUGCCUUCUUGCAUUAGAAUGGCCUCGAUCCCUGUUCCCAAUGCAUCAGUCUCAAUUUUAAAGAACUUGGUGAAGUCUGGUGAUGCGAUUCAGAAGAAGGAAUUCAAGAAGUUUAUUAUUAAUUUUGUAUUAUUAUUUAGAGAUAAAUAUUGGAUUAUUAAUGUUAUUAUUUUAGUAGGAUAUUUUAGAAGUUUUAAUUAUGGUAGUAGAUUUUAAUUAGGAAAUUUUUAAUUAUGGUAGUAGAUUUUAAUUAGGAGAGUUUUUUUAGGAGAUUGUUUCCUUUUUUGAAUUUAGGGUUUUUAUUUAGUCUCCAAGUAUUGGGUUUUUUAUUUAAGCAUUAUAAUACUUCAUUUUUUUUUUUGAGAUUAUUGAAUAUAUUGAUUUGAGAUUAAAUUGUGUGCUUUUGUAUGUGUUAAUUUACUGAUUUUCUGCGGAGGUAGAUACUUUUAUUCCUUCUAUCUACCCCGUUCUACAUCAUCUGAUAAUGUAAAAAUUGGAGUAGUGAGAGCUUUUUUAAGAGCUGUGAAAGCAAGUGAAAGCAAGUUGAGCAUCUAGAUUCCACCUAAAUUUUCCUUUUUGUAAUAGAGAAGUCGGGGGUUUAGCUAGGAUUCUAUAGCCCCUUAUGAAUUUCCUAUAGUAUCCUGUAAGUCCAAGGAAACCCCUUAGUUGCUUGAUGGUUCUUGGUUUAGGCCAAUCCAGUACAUCUUGGAUUUUUGUUGGGUCCAUUGCCACUUUGUGUCAUAAAUUUCAUGUCCUUUAUCCAUCUGAGGUUGUGCAAAGGUGCACUUGCUCUCUUUAGCAUAUAAUUGAUUGUCCCUUAGAAUUUGAAAUACUUCUUGAAGAUGUUUGUAGUGCCCAUCCAAAUCCUCGGAAUAGAUUAGGAUGUCAUCAAAAAACAAAAACAUUUUUCCCAAUAAGGGGCUGAAACACCUUAUUCAUCAAAUUUUGGGUGGCAGGGGCAUUAGUUAACCCAAAUGACAUGACUGUGAAUUCGAAUAGCCCUUAUGUGUUUUAAAUGUUAUCUUUUCAAUGUCCUCUUCUCUGACUUGGUGAUACCCAACCCUCGAGUCCAACAUCGUAAAAUAUUUAGCCCCAUGCAAUGUUCUAAAAGGCGCUAGGCGGGAGGGGCCUAGGCGGGAUUUUUUAUUUUAAGCUAAUUUAAAUAUUUUAUCUUACAUUUAUCCAAACAAAACAAUAAUAUAAAGCAAAACAAUCUAUAAUAAAGAUAAUAAAGGCUUUUAUUUAAAGUUCGAACACAUUCAUAUUGCUAAUGUCAAAGGUUAAAUACAAACAUGCAAUUGUUCAAAGUUCAAACAUAUUUUUAACGUAUUGGUUUUAUUCAUAAAUAAGAUAGCUAUUAAAUAAUAAAAUUUAAAAUUUCAAGAAUUUAAUUCAAUAUUAAAACUUAAGAAACUAAACAUAAAUUUAAGAAUUAUAUUAAAUUAAACUAAAUAUUACAAAUGUAUCAUCAUUUAUAUAAUUUGAAGUUGGUACAAGUUCAAAAAAUUACAUCUAUUAUAAAAUUAUCCAUUUUGACUUGAUAUUGUUCACUUCUUGUUGUGAUUGUGAUAUAUUACAACCUGUAUUAUGAAUAUAAUAAAUCAUUAGAAAAAUAAGUAUAUCAAGAUCUGAUUUGGGCAGUUAUUAAAAUAAAAAAACUCUCCGCAUUGGGUCUAGCGCCUUGGUGAGGCGCCAGGGGGGCCUGGUGCCUAGGGCCUAGCGCCUAGGCGGGGCGCCAAGGGGGGCCUAGCGCCUAGGCGGGGCAUAGGCGGAGAUUUUUAGAACACUGACCCCAUCCCAUAUAAUUCAUCUAUUAGCUCAUCAACGAGGGGAAUAGGGUAUUUAUUUUUGAUAGUUGGAGAAUUGAGGUGUCUGUAGUCAAACAUAAAAUUUCCAACUGCAAUCCUUUUUCUUAACUAGGAGUAAGGGAGAAGCAUAUGGAGGUCUUAUGAUUACUGUGUGUAGCAUUUCCAACACCAAUCUCUCUAUUUCAUUUUUCUGGCAUUAAGAGCACUUGUAGGGUCUGAUGGAAAAAAGUGAAAAGUUGACUUCAAGAGGAAUGUUAUGGACCAACAAUCUUUUUGGUGGCAUACCUUGAGGUUCUUGACAAAUAUCUGAGUAUUCUUCAAGCAAUGACUGUAUUUUUGGGUUUGUAAUGGUAGAGUUUAAGGAACAAGUUAAUAACAACUAGAGUUAGUUUGGGGUGACAUACUUGUUGAAAAGUCGUUGGUUGGGAGUGACUGCACAAUCACUAGGAACCCAUUUUCUUCCUCAUUAAUAUGCUCUACCUAGUGUGAUCAUUUAUAGUUCUGGGGAUGUAUUUUUAUUCUGUACCUAUACUUGUACUAUUUCUCCUCCAUAUUUGAAUUGUAACGUUAGCUUCUCAUAGUCGAAGGUGGUUGGCCCCAGCUGUUUCAACCACUGAACUCCUAACACCAUUUCGCAUCCUCCCAGAGGUAGUACUCUCAUUGCAUCCUUAAAAAAAAUCUCCCAUUUUCCAUCUAAACUCUGAGCAUUGUUGGCUGUUAGGGAGUUGACUAACCAUCUGCCAUAGAAGCCGUCAUAAGUGAGGUGGGCUCUAGAGCACAUUUGGGCCUCUGUGCUUAUGGGUACUGCCCCCAUCAAUGAGGAUUGAUAUAAACUUUUUUCCAAUAUAACCAAUCAUUUUCAUGGUUUGGGGACUAACAUGGUCUUCAAAGGCAUUAAGGAAUACCUCAAUAUUCUCUUUGGUUGGUAAAUUUUCUGUAAUCCUCGUAGGUUGGUUCUUCAUCAUAUUGAGGAGGUUCAAAGUAUUCCACAAACUCUUGAGAGUCUUAACAGUUCUGGAAAUCCUCUCAAGUGAUCAUGAAAUGCUGAGGAGCGUUGCAUUGGUAUCCCAUGGUGUAUUUCUCAUCACAAUAAAAACAUAGGUCCUUGGCUUUUCUCUCAUCUCUUUGAGUUGCAGUAAUAGGUUUUAGGCUUGUUAAAGUCAUUUCUAGGAUAGGUGAGCGUAGGAGUUUUGGUUGUUGGUGGUGCAUGGAGUUCCUUUCUAUAGCUGAACUGAGUGUUGGUGUGACUGGGUUGUGGGUGUUGGCAAGAUUAGGAAUAUGACUUUCAUAGAACUUUGCUUGUUUGAAGGCUUGGAAUAAAGUUUCUGGGUUAAGCAAAUUUACCAUUUUUUGGUUUCAUCUUUUACACCAUCAACAAAGGUCCCCACAAAGAAGUCCUCAAUCAAGUGAGGCAAAUUCUCUAGUAAUCUCCCCUUGUUAUGCCUUUCAAGCUCAUCAUAGUAUACAUUCAUAGUUCCUACUUGCUUCAACAACUUGAAUUGUUCAUAUAUGUUUUUCACACCUGCCUCAAUUAACCUCACAAUGAAAUUAUUUGCAAACUCUCUCCAAGUAAGCCCCUCUUUGCCAUUGACAUGAGACUUGUACCAAUAUUUUGGAGAACCAUGGGGGUGCAUCCCAACUAUGGCAAUCCUUUUAUGAGAAUGAAUCCCAUAUAUGCCAAAAUACUCAUCGCAAUCUUGUAUCUAGCUCUUAGCAUCAUCACCCUCAGUAAAUAAUGGGAACACCAAUUUAAGAUGUUUAAGUUUUCUCUCCUAUUCACCAUCAUCAUUGGUUACUCCUCUAUUGAGCAUCAUCUUCAGGUUUCCUUGUUCUUUCUUGCUUAGCAUGAAUAGGGUCUCUAAAGAAGCCCUUAUCCCUCCUUUGCCCCAUAUGAGCAGGCCUCUUACCCCUUCCAUUAUCCCCAAAAGGAUUUUCAAGCCUGUCAUCAUUAUCUGCGUUCUUUUGUCUCAACAGUUUAUUCAUACCUUCCAUGAAAUGGUCCAUUUUUUCAUCAUUAUCAAUCAGUUAUAAUUUCUCAUUGGUGUACUCUCUGUAGUUUUGAAAUCUUGAUGCAACAUUUGUGUAGGACCAACCAUAUUUAUAGAGAGCAAAGAGAGAAGUGUCACAGAAUAAUUGUGAUUUCGAGUUUGAAAAUGAAUUCAAGAAGUAGCAACACUACUUGGGUAAGAGUAAGUGAGUUUGAGUAGCCCUGGCCAAACAAGUUUAGUAUUGGAAGGUUCUACAAUCGUUGAGCGGAAUAACUUAUAAGACUAUGAUAAUAGAUCGAAACAAUUUAUAAGUCUUCGAUCGUAGACCAGAACAAUUUAUAAGACUACGAUAGUAGACCGAAACAAUUUAUAAGACUCUACGAUCGAAGGCCGGAACUUAUAACUUUACAACUGAAACAACUUAAUACGAAUCACCUAUAACACAAACCAAAACAAAUCAAACAAAACUAAUUCAUAGAAUUGAAAAAAUGUAAACGAUAAAGAAGAUCCAGCAAAAUAUUGAUUAAAAUGUGUGGGUGAUGUUGUAAAUGAGUUUUAUGGAAUGGGCUAUCUGUAUGUGAUAGGAAAGUGUGAGAUGGAAGUGUUUAAUACCUGAAACAAGUGAAUUAACACUUGAAUUUGCUGAGUUGCAGGUACUACGCUGGAAAACAGAAAAUUUCCGAGGCCUAUUUUCUGCUGUUAUGGGGUAGAGAUCAUGGUUUUGUGCUUGGUUCUAGGUAAAAGGUAGUGUUUGAAGGAUGAAAGGAGGUAGCGUAUUAUGAUUUUCUUCCUUCCAAUCCAUUGUUCUACAGUGGCUUUUUUAGACGUGCUCUUAAACUCAUACUAAUUAUAAUUGCAGUAUGGGAGAUCUGUUAUUGCUGUAAAUAAUCAUGGGUUCUUAGUAAAAUUAUAAUUGCAGCAUGGAAGAGCCAGAAUUGCUAUAAAAAGUGGAGCAUGCUCCUUGAAUUUAAGAAUUGAAUUACGUGCCAAAAAAACAGCACAGUUUUGUACAAGGCCACCUCAGAUAAAUUUAACUUCCAAUGUGAUACCAGCGUUGGGAAAAAAGAUGUGUAAUAAAUUUGUAGGGUUCACACCAUGGUGGUUAGGUAUGUAUGCGAGGGUUCCUGUGUGACGAAAUAGGAGUUGUGAAGGAAAUAUGUGGGCUGUGUUAUGAUAUGUACAAAUGUUUACCUUUUUGCUUGAAAAGGUGCUUUAUAUUAUAUAUUUUUUGUUAACUUAUUAAAAGUUUGUUGCUUACACCAUUCAAUUCAUCUUUUCUUGUCCAGGUUGCAAGUUGGAGUUAUCCUUUCAAAAGUGUUGGGAUCUCGAUGAGCAUGGCUAGUUUUGAUUUUUAAAUUCAAGGACUUAAGUUGGGAUCCUUAAUUUCUUUUGUUGUUCAUUUUUCCUUGCACCCUUUUGUUUUGUUUGAACUUGUGGGAAUGGAAUGGUUUUUGACUCUUAUUUUCCCACAUAUGUUCUUCGCCUUUAAUGUAUAUGCCAACUUACCAUUACAAUUCCUUCAGGCGAUUAUUAUUUUUACAUGUAUUUUUGAUAUUUUUACAUGAAGGUGAGACUCAAUGUAUGCUCAUAUGAAAGAGGACCAUGUGGAAGUAUCAGUUCUCUUCCAUUAUUAACUUUCAUAUAUAUUUUCCAAAAUUCCAUAUCAGGUGCAUGUUAAAUAAACAAAAGAAUAUAUAUUACGAAUGUUUAUGUUAAUUUUUUGAUUGUUAGUUAUAUUGGUGAUAAUUUUUUUCGAGAGAUGUGUAAUAAGUGAGAUCUUGUAAUUUUUAUGAAUCUUGUGUAAGGAUGUAAACGAGUCAAAUCGAAGCGAACAAAGAGUUGUUUGAAUUCGACUCAAAACAUUAAUUUCAUACUCGAAUUCGACUAGAAUUUGAAUUGUAUUUGAAAUUUUUUUAUUCAGAUUCGACUUGACUCGAAUAUUUAUUACUCAAAUUCGAUCUGACUCUGAUUGAAUCAUAUUCAAACUGCUCGUGAUCUUCAAAUUAAAGCUCGAAUUCAAUCCGACAUAAUAACUAGUUUUACAAUAAAUAUAUUUAUAAAUUGAAUUUGUUCUUUUACUUAGAAAUGAGAAAAUAUAUUUACUAUUACACUUUAAAAAUAUAAAAUCACAAUUAAAAUUAAAAUAAAAUAAUAAUAAUAAUAAUUAAUUAUUCUAAUUUGAUUUAAUUUUGUAUAUAUUAUAAAAGAAUAUAUAGAGUAUCUAAUCGAAUCUGUAUCAAUCGAGUAUGUAUUGAAUCACAAUCGAGAAUUCGAGUAGUUUGAAUCUUAAACGAAUCGAGUAUUACCUUAAUCAGAUUCUUCUCAUAUUUUUAUUCGAACUAUUUUUAUACUCUGAUUUGGAUCAUAUUAUUAACGAAUCCGAGUCUCGCUCGUAUUUUUUUGAUCCUGGACUGUUUGAUUCUUUUACCGCCUUAAUCGCAGUAAAUAGCCGGACUUUUUCUAAAUCCAAUCCAACACAUGGGCAACGCUUUGCAAUUCGCAUAGUAAGUUUUAGGCAAAACUAUGUUUUUCACCACUAUACUUGGCACAUUUUACUUAAUACACUAUUGAACUUUUAAUUUUUUUUUAAUUAGCCCACUAAACUAAUUAAAAUUAUAAAAUUGGGUCAUUCCGUUAAAAUUGAUUGGACGGACGUUAAAUAUUUUAUUACGUGGAUUUAUAAAAAAAAGAAGAAAAAAAAGCGUGGCUUAGAGGUCUAUCAUAUGUGGGACCAAAUCUCCGAACUAUCCUCCUCUCUCACAAUCAAAUCCUUCGAUCAAUGGCCACUGGAUGGCUCUCCAAAUAGAUCGACAUCGAUUUGUUACUCAGAUCCGGCGUCCUCUGACAAUCCAAUGCCAUCGUAUUGUCCCAACCGAACCAUUUUUCAUUUUAACAUCAAUUAAGCAAGAUUUCAUAGAAAAGCAGAGAUUUUGUUUGUGGGUCGGGAUGGCGAUGAGCAGCGACCAAAACCAGGACGACUCCGACGAGCAGCAGAGACGAUCGGAGAUCUAUACCUACGAAACCCCAUGGCACGUUUACGCUAUGAACUGGAGCGUUCGCCGGGACAAAAACUUUCGCCUAAUCAUCGCAAGUCUCUUGUAGCAGUACCAGAACCGGGUCGAAAUUGACGACAUCAAUGGGGAGAUCCACGCUGACCCGACCCUUUCAUUCGAGCACCCGUAUCCGCCCACUAAGGCCAUCUUCGUCCCCGACAAGGAGUGCCAGAAGCCGGACCUCCUGGCCACUUCCAGCGACUUCCUUCGGCUGUGGCGCAUCUCCGAUGAGUCCGUUGAGCUGAAGAGCCUCCUUAACAACAACCGAAACAGUGAAUUUUGUGGGCCCUUAACCUCCUUUGAUUGGAACUGCUAUUGCUUGGGCGCCACAUAGCUCUUGCCAUAUUUGUAUUGCUGGGGAUGAUUCACAGGCUCUGAUUUGGGACUUCUCUACUAUGGGUUAGCCCGUGAAGGGUGGACUGAACCCGAUUCUGCCUUAUACUGCCGAUGUCGAAAUUGAGCAGCUACAAUGGUCUUCUUCUCAGCCUGAUUGGGUUGCCAUUGCCUUCUCUUCAAAGCUUCAGAUUCUUAGGGUAUGACUGAUUUGUUGUUCUUAGGUAGGGUAUGACUAAUUUGAUCGAAGGAUUUGAUUGUGAGAGAGGAGGGUAGUUCAGAGAUUUGGUUCCAAGUAUGAUAGACCCCUCUAAGCCACGUCAUUUUUCUUUUCUUUUACAAAUCCACAUAGGAAAAUAUUUAACAAUUGUCCAAUCAAUUUUAACGGAAUGACCCAAUUUUACAAUUUUAAUUAGUUUAGUGAGCUAAUUAAAAAAAUUAAAAGUUCAAUAGUGUAUUAAGUAAAAUGUGCCAAGUAUAAUGGUGAAAAACAUACUUUUGCCGUAAGUUUUAUUUUUUUAUCUAAAAAAAUAAUAAUGAGAUUUAUCAUUGAUUACUCUUUUGGUAGGGAAUUGAAAAUAGUACUCUCGGUUCCAUAAUAACUGUCAUUUUAGCUUAAUGCACAUGAAUUAAAAAAAUCAUUUAAUAAUAUCAUUUAAGAAUUAAAAUUUGUAUGAAAUUCCAUUACUAUCCCUUUAUAGAAAGUUGGAAACUAUUAAUGCAAGAGAGAAAAUUUAUUAGGAGAAUGAGAGAAGUUAGGGGCAGUGGCGGAUCUAGCAAGGGGCAGCAUAGGCAGCUGCCCCUGCUGGAAUUUUUUUAUAUGGGUAUAGGGGUAGGACAAAUAUGUAAAUUAAUAAAUUUAAGGGGGCAGAUUAAUGGAAAAGUUAAAUUUAGAGGGGCAAAAAAAAUUCAUAAACUAAUUUUAAAUACAAGUAAAACUUAUUUGAAAUUUAUAAAAAGAUACUAACACUAGUUUAUGCUUUAAAUUAAUUCUUGGUUUUGUUUGAAUAUAAAAAGAAAAUUUGAUUUAAGACUUUGAACAUUUGGAGAAUCAUUAUUGAACUAUGAUAAAUAACCGAAAUAAGUUUCUAAAUUGUAUCUAAAUAUUUUCUAUUUGAAAUUCUUUUUUUAGUUUGAAUUAUGAAUAUUUAUUAUAAUUUAUAAACAUUAUUAUAAUUACUUAAUAUUAUGAUUAGUUCAAAAAAAAUUUAUUUAACUUUAACAAAAAAAAUUAAUUAAAAUUUGCCCUUGCUAGGUAAAAUUUCUGGAUCCGCCCCUGGUUAGGGGUAAUAUAGAAAAAUAAAUAAUUUAUUCUUUUAGAAAGUUGUAAAUGACAAAUAAAUUGAAACAAAUUUUAUCUUUUAAAAAGACAAUUAUUAUGGAACCGAGGGAGUAAUAUCAAAAUGGGACCCAACGGAGGGAAAUGUUCUUGAUUUGAGCUAAAUUGAUGGAUCCACAGUUAAGAAUAAACCAAAUGCAACAAUUUCAACGGCAGGAGGCAGGGGGAGUGGUGACUUUGGGCUCACAGUUUUAUGAGAGGUCGGGAAGGAGGCGGCAGGCGGCAGCAAACCAUCUACAUAAAUAUUUAUUGCUCAUCUUACCAGUCCCGUUUGUGAAACUAAAAAAUAAAAUAAAGAAGAAAAGAUAAUAUUAAUCAUGAUUUUUAAAAUACAGACUUAUUGGUUUCAACUUCUUUUCUAAUCACUCAAUUCUAACCAAUUUUUUACUUUUAUUGCAAGGUUUUUUAGGAGUGCUUAAUUUAUAUUGAAUAUUGAGUAUACAAAUUCAUUUAUUGGUAUCCUACUAAGGUGGUGGGGCGCGUCCAAAUCACUCGUCUCAUGGAUUAUUUACAACCACAUUGAAUGAUCUUUUGAAUUGGUCAAGAUUUUACAGUUCUUAUAUAAAUCUCAUGUCUCAUGUUGUGUAUAUUAUAAUUAUUUAUUAAUUCUCGGGCAUUAACAGUAGGAGACGAUAGACGAGAUAAUAAAAAAAUUAAUGGAAAUUGAAUUUUUUAUAUGAAAAGUGUCGACGGUAAAAGUCGUUGUUAUAGGAUUUAUAGCGACGGUUUUCAUAUGUAAAUAUCAAAAAAUCAUGUGAAAAUAUCAGUUUUUAAAAUAAUAAAAAAGAAGAAAAGAUAUAAUAAAAGCGGCAACAGAAAUCCAUCCAUCAGCCAACCAAAAACAAACAGGUAAAGUAACCCAACCCCUUGUUUUUUCAACCACCAACUUCCUUCAGUCCUUCUCCAUGCAAACAUUUUCAAGGCAGGCAGCUCCCCUCCACUCUCUAACCAGUGUGCUACUCCAGCAGGCCUUCAUUCCCACCUAUAAAUUCACUACUUUUUAUAGGUCUCUAAGCUAAGCUAAAUUAAGCUCAAGUAAUUACUAUUAAUAUAGAUAUCAUUACAAAAUUUCUUGGCAUAAAUUUAAGUACUGGGCAUAUAUAUAUAUAUAUGAAUGGCUUCUCUUGUUCUUCUUGUGUCUCAAUUUCUUAAACACCCAAAUGCUGAUUUGGACUACUCAACGACGUUGUCUUCAACGUCAGCCAAAAAUGCCGCCGGUGCUCCUUGCUUCACCAAGAAACAGCCAGCGGCAACAACUCCGGGUGAUAGGAAAGAGGAUUUUGAAGAAGAUUUAUCUGUGUUGAGCGUUUGUGUUGACCUUUUUUGGCUUUAAUUAAUUAAUUAAUUAAUUAGAAAUAUGCAUGUAUAUUAUUAUUAUUUUAAUAUAUUUGUUGUUGAUCAACAAACAAUAUUAUACAGUUAGUUUUUGUUAUUUUUGAGUUUACAUUUCUUGUUAGUUUUUUACGUUUAAAAGUUGGGUGCUGAUAUUAUUUGCCUUAGUAGUAUUUGCAAUAAUCAGAUUUACAAAUUAAACACAAUAUUUGAUUCCAUGUUACUAAUUAACAUUACCACCUUAGUUUUUUCUAUUUUCUUCUUCCAUCCUAAUCAAAAUUAUUUCCUUAAUUUCCAUAGAUAAUUAAAGAGUUUUGUUAUAUAUGACAGAAAAAAUUAUAUCAAAUAUAAAAAUUGACACAUGAUAUAAAUACAUGAGAUAAUUUUUUUUUAAUAAUGAUCCAUCACUUGAAAUUCCAUGUACAUGGAUCGCAAUUUAAUUUUGUGAUAUAAUAUACUUAUUGUAGACAUGUUGACCAAUCAAACAUGAUUAAUCAGGGAUAAUAUGAUUAGUGUUGAGGGUUGUAUUAGUGUAAUAACAUUAAACAUAUAUAGGCUAUUAAAAAUAGAAAAUUGAUAUUUCUAUAUGAUUUUUUAAUAUUUCUAUAUGAAAAGUGUCGCUAUAGAUGUAUAGCAACGGUAAAAAUCGUCGUUAUAGGAUCUAUACGAAGAGUUAUUGAGUUUAUAAGAUUUUCAGAAUUGAACUGGUUUAAGUAUCCGGCCUGAAUACAUCAUGUAAUCAUUUUCUUAAAGGUAUCUUUAGAAAAGGCUAGGCCCAAAUCUUAGAAAAAUUAAAUAUAACUUUUGAACAAUCUUUGAUGAGGUAUACAAUUAAAAAUAUAAUUUUAGGAAUAAAAUACUUAAAAAUAUUAAUAACAUUUUAUAGUAUAUAAAAUCAAAACAAAAGAUUACAACAACAUUCAUUAAAUUGGUUAUCCAAUUUAUUAAACAAAAAUCAAAAAUAAUUUGUACAUAACAAAAAUUGUUUACGGUAAUAUAUAGUAAACAAGAUGGAUAUUGAAUGUAAAAUUUAAUUGUCUAUGAAAGUAUGUAAGUAAAAAUAUAAUUCAACACUACUUCUUAUUCAUUUAGCCGCAAAUUUUUGGAUGAAUCGUUCAAACACAUUCAGACGCAUUCAAAGUUUAAAAAUUAUUAAACAAACGGUCUGAAUGACUUAUUCGGUCAAAUUGAGACUUAUUUAGACACAUUCAGAAAUAAACAAACAUUACUCUUACUUUAAUAAAAUGCAAUAUCCUUCUAAAAUAUAGUUGAUGCCCAACCACAUAAAGAAAGAAGGAAUAAAAUCUUUGUUAGCCUUCAAAUUAUAACUAUUUUUCACGUUUAGUGCUCUAACUAUUUUUUCCGCAUAAUUUGUCCUCGAAUUAGUCCCUAAAAUAUAGUAUCUUUUUAACGUGUAGUCCCCAAAUUGUAGUUGUUGUUCAUGUUUAGUCCUCAAUCUACAAUUGUUUUCAUAUUUAGUACACUUCAAUUAAUCUAUUUUGUAAAUUGUUUGAUUAAGAUUACAAAAAAUAACAAAGUACAAGGAUAAAAUACAUGAAAAUUAAUAAUAAUUUGAGAACUAAACGUGAAAAUCAGUUAUAAUUUAGGAACUAACGAACAAGUCAUCUCAAGAAAAAAGAAGAAGAACUCUUUGUUUUUAGCAUACUAAUUUUAUUUUUCUCAUAAUUCAUUCAUUCACAUAAUCACAUCAAAUAUUCCAAUUGCACCUUUUAAUUUGUUUAACAAAUUUAUUUUUAUAGUUACUGUUUUACUCGUACAUAAGUUUUGCAAUUAUAUAUAAAUUUUUUCUUUAUAAUCCAUCCGUUUUGAAAUUAGAUAUUGUGAGCAAGGAAAUCAUGCCUUGCCAGUUAGAGUUUCGUGUUGGCUGAGGAGGAGAGAAAUCCACAAAGAGCACGAAAUUGAUUGGUUGAUUGAAGAGGGGAGAACUCCUAGAAUCCAGGAACCGUGUUAGGGUAGUAGGGAUUCCAAGAGCUUUCUUGAGUCCUUCGUUGUUGAGAGAAUGUCUAAAUCCCUUUUUAGUGCUUUUAGGUGGAAUCUCCGAGCCUUUAAGUCACUAAAAAGGGUCCUUUGAUCUUCCAAGAGUCCAAGUCUUGAGUCUAAAGAGAGGUCCCCUUCCCAAUGGAAUGGAAUGGGUAUUUAUAGGAUUCUCUGGAAAGUAGUCAUGUGCAAGGCACAUGCUUUCAAGGAAUUUCCAGAAAUACCCUUUAGCCAUUAGAAUAAUGCCCAUAUUGCCCUGUCCUUCUAGCCACCAAUUCAACCCCUCAAUCAAUUCCCAAAACGAGCUGCAUCCACGAGUCUUCUGCCUUGGGACACGUGGAGGCUUCUCUUAGAUCUAAUACAUUUAUUUCUGACAUCUCCGUCUUCAUUUAAUUAGGUUAUGCGAACCCUAAUUUGCACAUUUAAUUCAAUUAGGUCAUGUGAACCCUAAUUUUACACUUGUGCCCACAUUUGCCCCCUGCGCGAGAGUCGCAUUCCCAAAUAGACGAUCGUGCAAGAAAAUUGCAAGCCUUUGAAUGAUUUUGCAGGACUUUACUUUAUAGGUCUUGAAGUAGAGGGAACCUCUAGGGAGCCAAACUCUUAGGGUUAAACCCUAGGUAGGCAAAACCUAGCAGGGCUCUUCCUUGGACAAAUUGGGAACUCCUCCAUAAAUCUUUCCAUAGCUUGCCCAAUAUUUGUUUCCUUAUUUUUUCUGAAAAUUAAAACAAGGAAACAUGAUCAAAUCUCACCAAAUAAAAUUUAAUCUAAUAAAAUCCUUCUUUUGGGUAAACUAAAUCUUUUUUUUUUACUAAAUCAAAUCUGAAUUCUUUAUUUUGGAAAUAAAAUCAACUUUGAAUUUUAUUUUAGAAAUAAAAUCAAAUCCGAAUAAAAUAAAAUCUUGAUUUGAUUUUGAAAGUAAAAUUCAGAUAUAUUGAUAAUAUAUUAUUAUUAUUAUUUUUAAUAUUUUUUUAAAAUCUUCCCUUUAUAUAUUAGGAGAAAAUCAAAAAAAAUUCUUUUUAUUAUAUAUAUAUAUAUAUAUAUAUAUAUAUAUAUAUUUAGAAAAUUACAUCUUUAUAUAUUUUUAUUUAGAAAUGAAUUUAAAGAUACUUAUCUUUUGGAAAAUCUUCGCGGCGAAGGAGCAUUCAUUCCAAGCAGUUGAUUGGUAGAGCAACAGGACCUCAAAGGUAUGAAGGGUAACAGCCCCUAGGUAGUCAAGGCUUACAUGGUCGAAGCCUACAUGGCCGAAGCCUACAGAGAUUUUUUUAAGGGGUGAAAAGAACAACCCCUAGAUGGUCGAAGCCAACAUGGCCGACCCCUAGGUGGCCUAAGGCAACAUGGUCGGCCCCAAGAUGGCCUAAGGCAACAUAGUCGAACCCUAUAAUACUUUUUUUUUGAAGGGGUGAAAAGAACAACCCCUAGAUAGCCAAAGCCAACAUGGCCGACCCCUAGGUGUCCUAAGGCAACAUGGCCGCCCCCUAGGUGGCCUAAGACAAUAUGGUCGCGCCCUAGGUGGCCUAAGGCAACAUGGCCUAGGGGAACAAAGAAGUUUAAAUGGAAAAAAUGAAGUUUUGGAGGAGCAGUUACUAUUUUGAUCAUAACUUUUGACUCGUUUGGAGUUUCGGAGCCCAUAAUAUAUCAAAACGAAGCUAUCGACGAGCCCUACAAAAAAGGCUCCGAAGGAUGCCUUUUGGCCUUCCGAAGUUUUUUUCAAAAAUUUUUGAGAAAUUUUUUCUUCCAUAAUUGUGAUUCCUAACUCUUUCUGACAUUGUUUCUUCUUCUUUUUAGGUGUCUUUAAAGUUAAAUAUCUGACUUUCUUCUUUGUCAUGAUAAGUAUUCCGCCGACUAGGGAAUCACUAAGAAGGCCCCGUUUCUCAAUGAUUAGGAAAGGGCUCCCCUCUUUGGUCUUUCCGACGUCGUUUGGGAGCAAGUCCAGAUUUAUGACUGUUAAAUUCUUCCUCUGCCAGAUAAGGAAUGCUUGUUCCCCAUCUAUGCAUAGAGAAAUAAGAGUACCCUUUCAGUUCCCUUCACUUCUUGUCUGAUUCAUCAAGCCUCCUUCAAGAAUGACAUCAUUGGAUUGACGAGAUGCUUAGGAAUAUUGACUAUGUGGGUAUACUAAAGAAAGAGCUGACAUUCCUUAGUACAUCAAGCUCUGCAGGGACAUUCGUAUCCAACAGGACCAUGGUGCUCCUCUACAUGUCAUUCGUAUAUAACAGGAAUCACGGCUUGGGGGAAUAUACACCUCUAUUCUGGAGGACGUCUAUGUCAUCUACCAAUCUACCAGUAAGUAUUUGCCCCCUGCGCGUGAGUCGCGCCUUUGGUGAGAUGAUCGCGCAAAAUAUUGUAAGUGUGGAAGUCUUGAUUCCAGUGUCUGAACACUUUGCGGGGCUAGAAAACGAAAGGCCUAGGAGAGGGAACCUCUAGGGGAGCAAACCCUAGAAGGGCGAGCCUUAGAGGAGCUCUCCUAGGAUAUUGUGAAAAAUCUUCGAUAUAAUCCUUCUUACCCUAUCUUGAAAUUUCUCUUUUCUUUAGAAUCAAGAAGACGAAGACCAAUGCUGAUGAAGAGGAUGAUGAUGUUCCUAUUGGACUCUUUGUGAGUAUCGCAAAUGAGGCAGCGGGUAUCGAUUCUUCUUCGCCAUAUGACGCCUUUCUACAACUUCUCCACAUGACAAUUUUUUGAGGGUGCCAAUGAGACUCCUGCUUCUUUGAGGCGGUAUCCUUCUGAGACUAUUGCUAAUGUUCAUCCUCCCAAGGAGGAUCUCGCCGAGUUGGUGAUUGCUCGAGAGGGUAUUGUGGAUAGCACUUUGGGUGGGUUGAAUGACCUUCCGCCUCCCGUGAUAUCUCCUAACCCUCUUUGGACAUGUCUUCCUUCCAUGUUAAGUUGGAUCUCUCCCAUCAUCAUGUUAUAGUUGCACUUCGUUCGGAAGUCACUUCUCGUCACCAUGGGAACGACUUACUUCAUCAUGUAAAACUUUAGAAGCUUCAAGAUACCAUGGAUAAAUUGAAGACCAAUCUUUUGGAAAAUUGAGUCAGCUGCCCAAGACCUUGAAGGCCUGACAGCCUUGAAGGCCUGAUAGCCUCUAAGGCCUGAUAGCAUUGAAGGCUUGAUAGACUUGAAGACAUGAUAUCCUCGAAAGCCUAAUAGCGUUGAAGGCCUGAUAGCAUUGAAGGCCAAACUUUAGCUAUUCCCCUCUCUUCAAUUCGACAGGUCAUGGCCUUUAGAUCACGAACUUUCGUUGUUUUUUUCAUUUCCUGUAUAAAAAAAUUCAUGUACAUAUAUUUCAUUCAUCAAAUUGUAGUUUCUUCUAUCCUUAUUGAUUGCCUUUAAUUUGAACGAUUCCUUCAAACUCAAUAUUUAUCAUUGAAUCUCAGGUUAUUCAAAUUAAUACUCCAAGACAACAAUAGGUAUUAUAAACAAGUAAGCAUGAAUUUUGUCAAAAAACAUGUAUAUAUAUUUUUCACAAACCAACACUUGAGUUUAUACUCUUUUUUUUAAGAAAUCAAGAAAACAUUCUAGUAUAAGUGAAAGUUUGUCAAUUCAUUGAUAAUCAGAUUGCUUUUAACGAAAAGCAUAACGUUUUAUAUAAUAAAUCUUGCUUUUAUCAAAGAAAGCGUAACAUUCGCCACUUUUAGAGAUAAAGUGCAACUUUUGGGGUUGAAACACUUUUGAAGUUGAAAGUGUAACUUUCGAGGGCUAUUUGUCAGGUGCCUCGAUUACUUUCGAAGAUGAAAGUAUAACUUACGAGGACUUAUAGUCAGGUACCUCAAUCACUUUUGAUGAUAAAGUGUAACAAUCGGGUGCCUCGUCACUUGGGUCAUCCAAUUUUUUGGCAAGUGCGGUCUACGAGGACUUGAAAUUGGGUGCCUCGUCACUUGGGUCGUCCAAUUUCUUGGCAAGUGCAGUCUACGAGGACUUGGAAUUAGGUGCCUCGUCACUUGGGUAGUCCAAUUUUUUGGCAAGUGCAGUCUACGAGGACUUGACCACCAUUUAGAGUGGACCACCAUCUUGGGUGGAUUUUUUUUUUAAUUCGUCAAUUCUUGUGCCUCCUCCCUUGGUCAUCCAAUUACUUGGCAAAGGAUAUUCCCGAGGACUUAAACCACCAUUUUUUGGUGGACCACCAUCUUGGGUGGAUUUUUAAUUCAUCUUUAGUUCAGAGUUUUUUCGAUGGCAGAGCUAGUAUUUGAGUUCUUGACUUCCGGGACUGCACCAUGGGUGAUAGCGUUGCACGUUUCUUCUCUUAGUUCAAUCUCCCCGGCCGCCAGUUUCUCAUGGUAUAUCCUCCGCAGACUAUAACAAUCGAUAGUGGAGUGUCCUGCAUAUUGGUGGUAUACACAGAAGUCCGGCCUUCUUUUCAUCUCUUCCUUUACGACCAACCGGGGCCUUGGAGGUUUCACCACUCCGUGCUCAACCCAUUGUUCAUACAGGCCCCUGAAUGCUUUCUCGCUGCAUGUGAUGGCCUCGGGAACUGGCAUUCUGGAAUACUUUUCCCCAUGCUUUUCUCUGAUUCGCUCAAAUUUUUCAUUCUUCUCCCUCUUUCCCCCUUGUGGUUUUGACUGAGAAUCUGUCAAUGCCACGGUUGUUGUCCUCUUUCUCUUCCAUGUAACCAUCGCAUGGUUGGUGGGAAAUGUCAUGAUUCCUUCCAAGUCUUGUGCAAAAGAUGAGAGGGUCACGGAGGAAUCACAAGCCUUGGUGAUGAGGUGGGGCUUGAAGGCAUCUAAGGCACCAUUGUUGCAAAUGCUGACUAAAUUCUUUUCUUCAAUCGGCUCUGCGCACUUCUGUGCCUGGGCCCUGAACCUGUCAACAUAAUCUGAUAGCUCUUCAUUCGGCUUUUGCUUGAACCUCAUAAGCUCUACCAUGGUCACCUGUUUUUGCACAUAAAAAAAUUUCUUAAAAAAUUAUAAUUUUAGGUCAUCCCAAUCAUGGAUUGACCCCUUCUCCAAAUUGUAGUACCAACUGAAGGCACUAUCCGUCAAAAUCUUGUUGAAUUCCCGCAUCAACAAGUUGUGGUUGUCACUUCAUCAUAUCCGAGCCAUGGAGAUAUUGACUCUACGAACCUGGCAAUAUGCUCCAUAGCAUUUCCUUUCUCCUCGUUGUAUUUUGGAAACUGCGGGGGAUGUUCAAUAUACCCAGUCGGGUACGGUUGCCUCCGAAUGUGCGCCGGGUAAGGUGGAGUAAAAUUUAACUCCGAGGGUCAAGAUGUCUGUCUGCGAAGUUGAUUGAUCACGUCGAUCAUAUCAUCAUUCGUCACGUACUGGCUCGUGGCGUGAACUCUCUGGGGUGUUGUGAUAAACUGUUGUAUCGGCGGUGUGUAUGGUAGAGAGAUUGGUUGAUGCACACUUGCAUCAUGCAAAACCGGUACUGGUGGCGGUUGCUGGCUCACUCGCUUGACAUUCCCUGGAAUGGUUGGCAUUUGCACCUGUGAAAUUGAUGGGAGAGCAGUUGGGAUGAUGUUUGUCUGAGGUUGGCUUACUUCCAACCUAGGUUGGGGCACGUCACCACUAUUCUGGGCCUCCAAGUUGAUUAUUGGAAUCAGUUGACUUUCCGUCGAUGGAGUUACAACCUGGUUCUCUUUGUUGUUGCUGCCAUUGUUGUUGUCCUCCACUCCUGCUUGUUCUCCCUGCGAACUGCUUGGGAACAUGGCCUUGAAGGUAGGGAUCUGCAUCAACUGCUGGCGGAAGUUUACCAUCUCCUCUUGCUUCCUCUGCAUCUCUAUCAUCAUGGCCAUCAUCAUCUCUUGUCCUUCUCGUGCUUCCUUCAAUGCCUUGAGCAUCUCCAGUUGUAUAACAUUCGUCUGGUCUCCACCUGCAUCCUCGCCUUGCCUUCCUGCAUUGCUUUGUUGUUUAUUGGCUAUACGUCACUACUACAAAACCAUAAAUAGAUAACACUUAAAAGAUGACGUUUUUGUAAAAAAUGUUGUGAUAUUUUUUUCACAACGUUUUUUAAUAAAACGUUGUAGAUAUAUAUAAAAAAACGUUAUCUAUUUAUAAGAGGUAAUUUUUUAUUUUAAAUAUAUAACACUUUUUAAAAAAAACGUUACCUAUUUAAAAAACACUGAGCUUAAAUGAAAAGUUAAAAUUAAAACACGGAGCGGAUUAUAUGUCUUUCUCUGCUGUCUUUCGCUCACAAAAUCAAAACCCUAGUUAUCAAGUCUACUGCAAUGUCUUUGCUCGUCGCCAUCAUAUUUGAUCAGAUGGGAACAGAAAGGAAAAGAAAGGUGAGCUUGUUCGAUGUGGUGGAUGAUAGCUCAGUCUUGAAGCUCACCAAACCCAACGGAGGUGGCGCUGGCGGGAAUAACAAUAACACCACGACAUUUUGGAGAAGAGGAAAACUUUGCCUGUUUGGCAGCAGAAAGAGGAGUUCUUCAAAGUUGUUAAAGCCAAUAAAACCUUAAUCCUUGUUGGUGAGACUAGUAGUGGUAAAACCACUCAGGUCAGUAAUUUGGAUUUCAGUUUACUAAUUUACUUAGUUUUGUUUUCUGGAUUUAGGUUUUCGGGAUUUUCAUAAAAGUUUUUGGAGACUGCUAAUGUUUGUUAUUGUCUAUGCUAUUCUAGUUAUCCGUAUUUGUGAUGAUGAUCGUAAUUGAAGCUAGCAUCUAAAAUCAUUUAUCUAUGUUAUGCUGAUUUUAUUAAUUGAUGUUACUUGAACUGAACGCCCUUUUAUAUUCAUCAUGUUCUGUGGUCUGUGAGUCCUGUGCCAGAGUCUUGUGCGCUGUGAGUCCUGUUCUGUUUUGAAGUAAGCCCUUUUAUAUACAUACUUUGGAGUAUUGAACACACACAUACAUACUUUCUUAAAUCCCAAUUUUGAUGUACAAGCAAAUUUCUUUAAUCAGACACAUUGGAGCACGACGAUCUAGUAGCAUAGCUGCCGCGGGUGAAUUUAUAUCAUCGGAAGAUUCGGAGAGAAAAGGGCUGCUACUAAAGGAAUUCGGGCAUUAGUAAUUGUGGGAUUAUUAAUAUAGAAUUGGCCUCCUCUGAAUUCAUCAAAUUUCUAUAACAGGUAUUGGGUCUGAAUUUUUAUAUAAAAUAAAUAGUAGUAUUUGAUAUAUAUUUGCAUAUAAAUGAUGUAAGUACUGAUAAUACAAAUUUAUUUAAUUCACUACAAAAAAAUGGGCCUUUAGCAACGAUUUUUCGGGCAACAACUUUAUAAGUCGUUGCUAAAAGUAUAUGUUUAGCAACAAAAUUUGUCCUUCGUUGCAGAUUGUGUCAGGCUUUCAGUUUUUGCAACGAAAUUCAUAAGUCGUUGAAAAAUUUCGUUGCUAAUUCAUUGGCGGGAAAAAAUUUCGUUAGAAAUUCGUUGCAAAAUUUUCGGCCACUUGCUUUCCCAUCAUCGUGGGCAACGAAAGUUUUUUGUUGCUAAAAAUGGGGUUUUAACAACGAUUUUUCAGACAACGACUUUAUAAGUCGUUGCUAAAAGUGUAUGUUUAGCAACGAAACUUGUCCUUCGUUGUAGAUUGUGUCCGGCUUUCACUUUUUGCAACGAAAUUCAUAAGUAGUUGCAAGAUUGGAAACAAAAUUCGUUAGAAAUUCGUUGCAAAAUAACCACUUGAUUUCUCCUCAUUGUGGGCAACAAAAGUUUUUUUGUUGCUAUAUUUUGUUGCCUAAUAUGGACCACAUUCAUUGGCAUCAAUUUUUAUUUUCGUCGCAUAUUUUAUACAACUUUUUGCAACGACUAUUAAAAUGUUGCCUUAAAUUAAGAUAAUAAUAAUAAUAAUAAUAGUACUACUACUAAUAAUAAUAAUAACAAAAACAGUAAUAAUAAUAAUAAUAAUAAUAGUACUAAUAAUAAUAAUAACAAUAACAAUAAUAAUAAUAAUAAUAAUAAUAAUAAUAAUAAUAAUAAUAAUAACAGUCAAAAUAAUAAUAGUACUAAUAAUAAUAAUAAUAACAAUAACAGUAAUAAUAAUAAUAAUAAUAACAAUAAUAAUAACAAUAAUAAUAAUAAUAAUAACAACAACAAUAACAGUCAUAAUAAUAAUAAUAAUAAUAAUAACAAUAACAGUCAUAAUAUAAUCCUUGCAAAAUAAUAACAAUUAGGCCCAAGUGGUCGGGUGGUCGUUGGAUCAAUAUUUCAAACUGGAGGUCUUGUGUUCAAAUCUGUGCAUCAACAUAUUUUUUGGGAUAAAGUUCAAUAUUCGUCACGUCAGCCCGUUCACAUAUGAUAUGUACGUAUGUGUGUGUACAUAUGAUAUAAUAAAAUACUAAACAAAUCUCAACAUUAAAAUAAAUAUAUAUAAAGUAACUAUGAAUAUUUUUAUAUAUAAAUAUAUAUAUAUGUAAACAAAUAUUCAUAUAAAUAUUUAUAAAUUUAUAAAUAAAUACUUGUUUAUAAAUUUUAAAGAUAAAUUUAUAUGAAUAUUUGUUUAUAAAUAUUUAUAUGAAUAUUUAUAGAUAAAUUUAUAAAUAUAUAUAUAUAUAUAUAUAUAUAUUAAAAUAUUCAUAGUUAGUUUGACAUUGGAUCACAUUUUAUUUUUUUUCAAUUCUUUUAAAAAAUAAAAUAAUUUAAAAAAAAAUAAGAUAAUUUUUUUUUAAAUUCUUUUUUUAAAAAAAUAUUUUUUAAAGUGGCGUUGGUUACCUUUCUGAUUUUUAGCUAAAAAAAAUAUCCAAAAAUUCAACGUCAUUUCAAAUGGCGUUCAGUAGUUUUUUCCAAAUUAGAUGUGAGAGCAUUUACUCCCAACGACAGUCGUUGAAAUUUUUAUUUUAAAAAAAAUAUUAGUUUAAAAAAAAAAUAUUUUUAACACACCAAGGAUUGAUUCAUCGAAUUAUUAUAUUGGGAUUCUAUCUAUAUAUUGACUUUAUCUAAAAAUCUCAUUUUUGAUAACUCUAUAGUGCAAACUUUGAUUCAACACCAUACCAAUUUUACAAAUAUAUAUAUAUAUAUAUAUAUAUAUAUAUAUAUAUUCUAAUAUUAGAGCUAGGUUUCGAACCUAAGACCUAUGGAUAAUUGAGUCAUUAAGCUACCACUGAGCCAUUCUAAUUUAUUAGUUAACUAAAACUACCGCCAUAACUUGUAGCGAUAGACAGUGUAGCACAUGAGCAAAUGAGGGCUAAAUGAGUAAUUUCUCAUGUCGCUACAGCCUGUAACGGCAUGGGAAAAUUCAUUUCAAUCUGUGUCAUCCAAUAUUGCGAUCAACGGUAUAGAUUAUGGUUGUUGAAAUAGUAUUCGUGACAACCGAUUGCCAAGCAUGUUAAUUAUUACUUACUAUAUAUUAAUGAAGGAAUUAUUACUCACUACAUAUUAUUAUUCAAAGGUUUUUUGUGAGAGAUAAAAUUGGCCACUAUUUUGUUCUAAAUAAUUUUUUUAGAAUUAAUUAUGGUGAAUAUAAAUUGUAAUAUAAAUACAUUAAUUUUUUUACUGUAGUAAAUUUACUUUUAAUAACACUUUUUAAUUAACUUACAGUAUUGACUAUUUCUUUUAACAAACUAUAAAGUAAAUAACUUUACACUACAUUAAACUUUAAAAUUUUAUACAUUGAUCAUGAUAAAAAAAUAGUGGUGCACUUUUGUAGAAUAGAGCACAAAUGCCAAAAACAAAUACUCAUAUGUUCUACAGAAAGAGUCAAGUUUGAAUUUGUUCUUUAAUUUAUAAUAUACUACAAUUAAAAUUGUAAUGUAAUUGAUAUUUUAAUAAAACUUUUAUUCUUAAUAAUAAUUUUUAAGUAAUUUGCAAUAUUAAUUGUAUUUAUUAAAAUAUUAAGUUACAAUAAUUUAAAUUUUAAAAUGUUAUAAAUUGACAGUAAAUAAAAUUAUAAUAAUUAUGACUCUUUUUAUAGAAUAAAUUAUAAAUAUUAAAAUAUUACUUUUUGGUUCUACAAAAAAGUUAUAUUUUAAUUUGUUAUAAUUAAUUUAUAAUAUCCUAAAAUUUAAAUUUAGAUUUAUCUUUGUCACUUCUCUUUCAUAAGCUUAGUCUUCUCACUCAUAAUUUUAGUCCUCCAUCUUCUCUCUACCCUUUUUGCUUUGGUCGCGUGGCUCUUCAUCUACCUCGGCGCCGCUCGUUACCCUUUCUCAUUCGAUCAGUCGCCGGUGAUCUUUGGCCGCACUUUUUUGGAUCGCAAAACCCUAGACAUCGUCGGAUCGCUUCUCAUCUCUAACGUUCUGAUCAGAUUGGCCAUCGUGUGCCCUUCUGGUCAGAUCUGGGAGGUCUUUAAGGUAUUUUUUGGUGCUACAUGCGAGGAGUGCACUGUUUCUUGAGGUAUGUAUAGCUUCUCAAUAAACCUCAAUUUACAAUAGCAUGCUUGAUUUUUAUCAGUGUAUUUUGUUUUGUUUAUCUUUGAUUGUUGAUUAACUUAAAUACUGAUUGGAUGUUUAACGAAUUACAGUUGUCAAUUUAUGCUUUUAAUGAAAAGCUAGGAUAAUAAUCUUUCUGGUAGUCAUUUACAGGUUUUGAGAUUGGGAAUAGGAACGGUGGUUUUUGGAAUACUGAUAUAUCUGUUUGAUUAGCAAUUUCUUUCUAUCCUUUUUUCCCUUCGUGAUGUUUCAUAUGGCUCUAUAAAUAUUUUGAAGUUUUAUGUGGAACCCAAAUGAUUUCAUUACUUGUUCAACAGAGGGAUUUAUUACUCGUUAUAGCCUAAUUGCUUUGAUACUGAUUAGGGAGCCUGCAAUUGGAUACAAUAGAUAAUAUGUUGGUUUUUUAGUCUUACUAUUGGACUAUGUGUUUUUAAGGCUUAAUACAACUUUUUGACAAGUACUGUACUGAAUGUCAUUAGAUGUUGAAUAUAUGACCAGAGUGGUCACAUAUUGACGUUGAUUUUGAUUUUGAUGUUGAUGUUGGAGUAAAUAUGUUUAUCAAAUUAUGGACUUAUAUUAUCCCUGUAAUUUAAGACUGCAGCCUGUCAAAUAUCAUUACUGAAUUCUUGCGCCCGCAUUUUGACAAGUAAUUGUAAUUUAUAUUUAAUAUUAAUAUAAACUACCUCCUAAAUGUUGUGAAAAGCAGCAGUAGCAGACACCUUGGGGAAUAUUUAACAAUUUGAACAUGUAUAUCUCGACUCCAUUGUCAGUCAAAUGCUUCUACCUUCCAGUAAUCUAGUAUCAAACGUAUCUUUACCAAAACAAUCAAUUAUGAAGCUUAGCCAUAUAUGGCAGAACAUUGCACCCAAGUUCAGGUUGCAUAUCACUUUGUUGAACUUCAAAAUCUGUAGCAUAUAUAGAGGAAAGGGAGCAGUGUUUCGGUUGGUUAAGAGGAGGAACAAAACAGAAAAACAAGUGUCCAUCUCACUAUUUUGAAGCCUGGAAGAAAGCAGCCCAACAAGGUCUAAUAAAUUGAACAUUUUCCAUUCCUUUUCCAUCCCAUUAUGAUCAUUGCAUAAGCUGAGUAGUGGCCGGGUGGCUUAGAUUGGACUGUUACAUAGAAGUUCAAUUUUUGGACUGUUUUGUGUUAAUGAUUUGGCUAUAUGUUUUAGAGUGUAUUAUUGUGACUGUGUGGAUAUGGUAAUAUAGCUGUCUUAUUGUUGUUUUGUGCUAUAAGGCUGGGUCAAAAUGUCUAAGAUGUAUGCUUUAUAUGUAAGUAUGUGGACUGCUCACCAUAUGUUUGAUAAAGUGACUAAAUGAGGGCUGAUAUAGCAUCCUUAUAUACUAGCUGUGUGAACAGUCCCAGAUCAUGUAUAUAUACCAUUUUGGCAAGCCAAUGUUUCAAGCAUACUCCUAUGCUAUAAUGUAACAUGAUUUAUAGUAGCUUGUGAUAACUAUGAUAGCUCACAAGUAGGUUACAUGAAUUACAAGGGGCUGUUAUAUCAAGCUUAAUAGUGAUUGGUAUUUCUUACCUUUAAUAUGGUUUUAUGAUAUAACAUGUGAUAAAAUGCACCAAACCUUGAAUGCCAAAAUGAUAGAACAUAAUUAGUAUUUGCAUUUUAAAAAUGAACCUAAAACAGGGCAAAUAUGGGCCUGUUUUGAACAUGCCAGACUCAGCUCUGUCUUAGAAGUAUCCUUGUAUGCCAUUUAGGAAAUUAAGAAACUAAAAGUUAAGCUCAUAUAGUUAUAUUUAUGCAAGAGUUAGUUAUGAGGAAAUUCAAGUUAGUUUGUUUUGGGAAUUGGUAAAGGUGGUUAUCUUAAUUGUGGUCAUGUUAGUUAACCAUGGAAAUGAAAGAUUACAUGCUUAGUGUAUUGCAAAUUAGUGGAAAGUAAGAAGUUAGUAAACUAAUUAGUGUACUAUAUAUAUUCAUGUAUGCUUUUUACUGUUAUUGGAUCCUUGUGGACUGAAUUAGAGCCAUGGAGAUUAGUGUGGUUGUACGGAGCAAUAAGGUUGGCGAAAAUGGCUUGAUUAUGUAGCCCCCAACCUUUAGAAAUCAGUCCACAAUUUAGGCGUACGCGUUAUGUUUGAUAAAAUGCCAAAACAAGCUAAUUUAGCUAAAAACUUGGAAUUUUACGAAGCCGAGACUCUAAAACAGUCUUAACUACAUUAUAUAAGACUUAUUUGUGAAGAAAGUCAAGCUAGAAUGAGCCGGGGCGAGUCUUGUACGAAAAACGAAAAGUUAAAAAUUAGUGUGUCGGGCUACUUUGGGCUAACUAUUUCGGUUAAUUAAACUUGCUGGAAAAUUAUAGUUUUCUGGGGACUUAAAGUGUGUCAUACCAGCUGUCCAUAGACUCCAGAACGGACUCGUUCUGAGUUCGGACGAUCAAUUUAUGACAUGCCAAAGUGGGUGCGUCGAAACUGCCCAAAUCUGGAAAACAGAUUCGAAGCAGUCCCCUGGCACGAAUUUUCUGGAAUUCUGUGUUUUGAAUUUGGAAAUGGUCAAAGACUAAAUAUUGUAGUCCUGGAAUUUAGCUUCGCGUGGGUUCAAGAAUCACUUAAAAAUGUUGAGAAACGAAGGAGUUAUGAUCAUUUUAGGGAAGGAGGGUAGUGCAGUAUAAAAACAGAACAUUCUGUCCACUUAGAGCAGAUUUCUGUUCUGUUCGGUUUGGAAUUUGGAUUUGUGAUCUGAAGAGAAGUUGUAGUCCCGGAAGUUAGCUUCGCGUGGGCUCAAGAAUCUCUCAAAAAUGUUUUGAAACGAAAAAGUUAUGACUGUUUUAGCGAAAGAGGGUAAAGCCGAAAUGAAAGUGAAAAACUGUUAUGAACGUACAUUUUUGGCGCUCUAUUUGGGCUGCCUAAUGAACCCGAAAUGGGGGUUUCAUAUUUUUUAAAAAUAGUCUCAUAUGAUACGAAAAACAUACUUAAAUUUGAGAAUUUUCUGACAAGCGAGCAAGGCGUGAGAAAAUCGCAAAGUGGCUCAUUCGUUAUGCAAGGCAGCAGUCAGCGCUGUGCCAGUUGGGCGCGCACGCCGCGCCAUGCUGUUGGUGCAGUCGCUUGGCGGGCUUUUUGAGCGCUAUUUUGAUCAAUGUUCGUAGCUUGUUUUCGCUUUUAGAAAAUUUUUAAAUGUACUAUGUCAUAAGGUCUAUAACAUACUAGAAAUUCGCCACGAUUCGAUUAAUAGUUUAAGAAUUAAAAAUGAGCGAAGGAGCAUGUCAGAACAUAAAAACGGACGACGCCGAGCGUAGCCGCUGUGGGCUAUUUGACGUUCGGCAUUCCGGAUCUUGUUUGGGCUAGAUUUUAACCAAUGUUAAGUCUAAUAAAGUCCCAAGAGAUAAAUUUUGACGUUAUGUGAUAAGUUAUGCCACGAAAACUCAAUACGGGCAUAAAUAAUGUAAUAAAAAUAUAAUGUAAAUAUAAAGUUACAUAUUUAAGAGAGAUAAGCCGAAAAUAGUAUGUGAAAAUGGUUUUUUAUAGCAAAACUAAAAGUAUAGAACCAUUAGAAAAUUGUAAUGAACAUAAAAGUGAUGAAAUAAAGGUUUUGGAGUUCAAAAUGGCAAUUUUGAGUUAAGAUUUAUGUUAUGACGUAUAUAUACAUAUAUUUAAUAUAUAUACGAAGCAAGGAUGUAAGUUAUUCAUGAAACAAAGUGCGAAACUAAUUUGCUAAUGAAAUAGAAUAUUUGUGUAUGAGGCAAUGGGCCGAGUUAACUUAUGAGCUAUCAAAAAGGUAUAAAAAUAAUGUAAAUAAAGGAAAUGAUAUAGUAAGUCGUGCUUUACUAUAAAAGGUAUAAACUAAUCAUUUAAAUCUCGAAUUUGCGAGUAAAAGCAAAAGAUAUUUCUAAAAUGGGGUAUGGAUGGUUUGAACUUCAAGAAUGUGAAAUGUUUACAUAUUAAUGAUAUGAGAAAUCUUUAUUAUGCGUAAAAAGGUUAAAACGGACAAAGUUUUCAAAGGAACCUAAGAUGGUUUUAGGAUGGGAAUAAAAUAUUAUAGUUUAAAUAAACUAAUAAUCAUGGAUUAAAUAUAUGCAUGCAUGUUUUGUGACAUAGUUGGUUAUCUAAUGUGUGUAUAUGUAUAUAUGUAAACACAAUUGUAUAGGAUUUGUGGAGAGAAGCUAAGUUAAAUUUUUCGGUGAGACCUAUGAAAACAGAAGUUCACGUGAAUUGUAGGAUAAAAGAAUAAGACCUCAUGCACCAUGUGAAAUAUCAUCCUGUUAUAUGUAUUCAGUUGUUUAAGUUGUGGAAUAAAAAAUCUUAUUUGUAAGUACUAACUUAGAUGGAUCAAGGUUUUGUAAAUAUGUUUCCUCGAAAGGUCAAAUACUGGUGAAUCAGGUUAUUCAUUGAAUGUAUUUAAAGUAGGAUACUUCUUAAAAACUGUAUCUGUAUUGGACCUACAACAACAUGAUAUAUGUACCUAUGCAGUGCUUUUUAAGUACAUCGUAUCUUUCCUUCCUAAAAUCCACACCAAAUUCUUAUUUUAUGUGUAGCAUUUUUGUUAUCAUGACGUUGUAGUGUGGUAAAAAUAUCUGUUUUUUCUGUAUGCAUCUUUAGUUCAUAUACAAAGAACAAGUUAUGAGCAUGCUUAUAUAUAUAUAUAUAUAUAGAGCAAGGAUCAAGAACAUUCUCCUUAAAUAAGAUUUCUCCUUAAGUAGCACUCCUUUAUUAAAACUACGUCGUUUUGGAGUCUUUUUUAAAAAACAAGUGGGGCUGUGAGUGGUAUUUUUAUAAAUAAAAGGAAAGCAAGUGGGAACACUCUCUUUUAAAAGACUCCAAAACGACGUAGUUUUAAUAAAGGAGUGCUAUUUAAGGAGGAAUGCUAUUUAAGGGGAAUGCUCUUGAUCCUUGCUAUAUAUGAGUAAGGAUCAAGAACAUUCUCCUUAAAUAACAUUUCUCCUUAAGUAGCACUCCUUUAUUAAAACUACGUCGUUUUGGAGUCUUUUUUAAAAAACAAGUGGGGCCGUGAGUGGUAUUUUUAUAAAUAAAAGGAAAGCAAGUGGAAACACUCUCUUUUAAAAGACUCCAAAACGACGUAGUUUUAAUAAAGGAGUGCUAUUUAAGGAGGAAUGCUAUUUAAGGGGAAUGCUCUUGAUCCUUGCUAUAUAUAUAUAUAUAUAUGUGUGUGUGUGUGUGUGGGUUCAGAAGCAAAGUAUUUUCCUUUUUCUGUUUCUGUAUGUACGUGGACAACUGAAUUUGUUUUUACCUCGAACAUGGUUGCACUUUAUUAGCUGAUUUCUCUAGCCCAACCCUGUUUAACAGAUGAAUCUUAUGUUGGGAGAUAUACCAAGUCUUUUAGACCUUAUAUGGUCAUGGAUAUCACCUUCUGAAGAUGACCUAAUGUCUUCAGGUAAGUUCUUGUAAUUUGUUGUGGUUGAGGGGUGGUUUUCACUAUUAAAUGAUUCUGUUUCUAUAGUUUGACGUAUAUCAUGAAAACUUUCCAUAUCCUAGCUGUGAUAUUAAGGAGAGGCUUGUUAGUUUCCUCCAAAAAGGAAACUAUGCUGAUAUUUCUUGCGAGGUUUCUCGGAGUGAAUUUUCGAAUGUAGACUGUUGUUUCAUAUUCCCCCCCNNNNNNNNNNNNNNNNNNNNNNNNNNNNNNNNNNNNNNNNNNNNNNNNNNNNNNNNNNNNNNNNNNNNNNNNNNNNNNNNNNNNNNNNNNNNNNNNNNNNNNNNNNNNNNNNNNNNNNNNNNNNNNNNNNNNNNNNNNNNGACCUCAUUCUUCACAUGUAAGUAAUUAUGUUACUUUCUGUCAUAGAUUAAUGUACUUGUGUGAUUGUGCACCUUGAAAUUCAAUAAAUAAUAGUAGUCUAUUUUGAAGAAAUCUUAGAUAAUGAUAUUUUAUCUCUCUGGCGGUUUUCUUAUUAUGAAGUCUUGAUUUCAUUCAUCUGUAGUGGUUCACUCCUUAAGUGUUCUCUUACAUCUAAAGAAAGUUAAAUGUGAAAUUAAGUCAUUAUUGAAGCACUACAAUAUCUAUCAGAUUGUAAAAGCAGGGCAUAAGUAUUAUAUAUUGAAAAAUAAAUUUUACUCUUUGGUCCUCAACUUCUUGGUAAGAUCCAAUUCUUUGAAGAUGUUGUUUUGGUUUUAAUACGAAAGUGCAUUACCUUUCAAAUUAAAGAUAACUCAUCCCUUUAUUAAAUUGAAUGCAAUGAUGGGAAAUAUUUUUGGCAAUGGAAAGUAGAGUACUUGUUCUAACUUGUGAUAUAACCAGGUUGGAGAGUGAUUAUGCUUGUGAUUGUUGAAUGUGACUGAAUUCUGACUUGAGGUCAACAUAUAAUAAUAAUCUACAAGUCUUGUAACAGAAAAUAUGUUUACCACUAUGCUUACUGAAAUUAAUUCAUGAAAUGGCCGAUUAAGAUUCCAAUUUUUUUCUUGGAACAGAGCAAUCAUAUAGUCGCACUGAAGGUUCUUUUUCUAUUUGGAUUUGUAGCAAAAGAUAUUGUGAUUGCCUAUUUGUCUUUUUCUGCUUAUGAGCAAUACGGUGUACAUUAGUACCACGUAGCAACUCUAUUGUCUUUGUGUAUUGAUUUUGGCAUUAAGUGCCUCUGGUGACCUAUUUGUUUCAUUUUUCUUACUUGCUAUUAUGUUUAAAUAUGUGCAGGAAGACUGCUUAUACGACUUGCCUUACAAUACUGGGUAUCGAAUUUCCGUGCUACGUUUACGGAAGACAAGGGAUGAAAUUAUGAAGUGUACUCUCACUAUAUAUGUAUAUAUAUACUUUGAUUGAAGAACUGUGGUAGUUUUAGAUGGUUAAUUGUAAAGAUAAUGAAUGAUUAUGUAGUGGAUGAUUUUGUUAAGUUAAUAAUAUUUUAGUUUUUUGUAUUUUUGCCAUUAUUUGCUAUGGGGACAUUAUAAUUCGUUACUAAAGUAUUGAACAAGUUUUAAUAUAGUAAUAAUUUUUUAUACAUUUAGCAACAAAUUUUCGUUGCUAAUUACAUUAAAAAUAUAAUAUUUGGCAACGAAAAAUUAACCUAAUAACAACGGAGAGGAUAUUGUUGCUAAUACUAAAAUAAAAGGUAACAUUUUUUAUCGUUGCAAAUCAUAUCAACUUUCGUUGCACAUAUAAAGAAACGGCAACAUAUAAUGUCGUUGCUAAUCGACGACUUUCGUUGCUAUUGAAAAAUAACCAGCAACAAACAUUUUCGUUGCUGAUUCAGUAUAAUGUCGUUGCCAAAUAAUAUAAUUAGCAACGAAAAAUUGUUGCUAAAAAGUUUACAUUCCGCAACGAAAGCAAGCUUAGGCAACAAUUUUUAUAAUUUACUGCAACGAAAAAUGUCGUUGCAAAAUGGUGUCAAUUGCAACGAAAAUACAUGGUCGUUGCAAAAAAAAAGAGUUCAUUUCGUUGCUAAUUAGCAGGCUUUUGCAACGAAAUGGGGUUUUUAGCAACGACAUUUUAAUUAUUCUGCAACAAUACAUUUUGUUGUUAAAGGAUUGAUGUCUCUGUACGAAAGCCAAAUUUCGUUGCAAAAUGUAUUACUUUUGGCAACGAGAAAAAUAUGUUCGUUGCGGAACAAUUAGCAACGCUCAUUGCGCAACGAAAGACGCAACGACAGUAAAGUCGUUGCCAAAACUCUUUAGCAACGAAAUUUGGUACAUUUAGCAACGAAAAUCGGUUGUUGCUGAAGCCCCAUUUUUUUGUAGUGAUUUGUUUGAAAUUACUAGAGCAGGAUGAAUUCGGAAGAAAAGUUCAGUACCUUGAGAAGUAUUUGGGAGGAAUGUACUACAGAGGAUGAGCUUCGAAGUGUCUUAACUGUAAAGCCCCAACCCAUUGCGGUUGACCAGUUUGAACCCUCCGGAAGAAUGAACAUAGCGCAGGUCCAAAUUUCAAACUCAUUGAUUUAGUAAUUAGCUCUUUUUUGUUGUUGUGUGUGAAAGUCUCUUUCGAUUUUGAGAAACAAAGUUUACCAAGAUCAGAAAAAUGUUAGUGUUUAAAAAGUUUGCCAUUUUAAAUUUGAAAAUGUGUAAAUUUAAUGUGAAAUGGUCAAACUUGGUCCUAUAUUUUGAAAUUGAUAGAGUACUUAUAUUUACUUGUGUUUAGAUGUGCUUAUUUACAACUGAUAUUUUCUUUUUUAUACUGUACAGGGUGUUGUUAAGGCUAUUAAUGUCAAGAGAAUGAUUUCUGCCGGUUGCAAAGUAAAAAUUUGGAUUGCAGAUUUGUUUGCACAAUUAAACAAUAAAAUUGGGGGAGAUUUGAAUAAAAUCCAAAUUGCUGGGAAAUAUUUUAUUGAGAUAUUCAAAGCUUUAGGGAUUAAUCUAGAAGACGGGAAAGUAGAGUUGUUGUGGGCUUCCAAAGAAAUUGAUUCUCGAUCAGAUGAAUACUGGCCUCUGGUAUUAAACAUAGCCAGACGGAACACGGUUUCUAAGAUAGAGAGGUAAAAGGUUUGUGAUUUGAUCUGCUUCAAAAUUUGUGUAUUGAUGCUACUCAAAUGUAUUUAAUGGGUGGGCUUUUCUCAGUUGCAUUCAGAAUAUGGGUCUUGGUGAGCAGGAUGAAUUUUAUGCAUCUCAUAUAGUAUACGUAAUCAUGCAAUGUGCAGAUAUAUUUUUCCUUGAGGUACUUUUAAUUCCAGUCUAUGAAAUAUUGUAAUUAUAACAUGCUGAGAUUAUGCACGACUAUAUUGUAUAAUAAUACAAAAAUUCUUUUAUCUGAACAGGCUGACAUAUGUCAAAUGGGCAUGGAUCAGAUAGAAGUGAAUGUAAUUGCAAGAGAGUAUUGCGAUAAAAUGGAGAGGGAAAACAAGCCUAUCGUAUUGUCUCAACGUUGUGCUCCUUGCAUUGCUUUUCUUCCCUGUGCUAAUAUGGUUCCUUAUCCUAAUGAGGUUAAUUAUUUUGAGAUGCAGAUUUGAUUCCUGCUUUGCAACAAGGGCUGGAGAAGAAGAGUGAUCCAUUAUCUUCCAUUUAUAUGGAGGACGAGGAGGUAUUAUUUAAUCCCAAUCAAUUUAAGUUUAAAUCGUUUUACUUUGGUGUUUGUUUAUGAAAAUAAUGGAAUAAGCAAUGAGCUGAGAUGUUUCCUAGGCCUCCUCUAGAUUAAUCUUGUUUGCAGAUUUAAUAUUGUGGUUUGUUGUAAUGUGACGAAUUUCACAGGCUGAUGUAAAUGUCAAAAUAAAGAAGGCGUACUCUAGCCUUAGCAAAGUGGAAAGACAAAAUUAUCAUGUUAUGCAGACCAUCUUCUUAUUAGUGUUUGGGGUUUGCAGACUUUGAUACAGACUUUGAUAUUUUGAUAUUCAGAGAAAAUCUCUCUGCCCCUAUGCACUCCAGAUUGUUAGUUUGCACUACCUGUCCUUUGUCUUGGAUAAAAGCUGUGUAUCACUCAAUAUAAGUGUUAUUUUAGAUUUUUUUAAUGGACACGAAUUACUUGUCUUUUGCCAGAUAAAUUGUUUCUCAUAUUCGAAUGGCAGUUCUGAUAAUGAAUUAAGAAGCCACUUCAAGGUUUUACAUGCAUUUGCCUUCGCCUAGAAUGUACUUAAAACUAUUCUUUUUCCAUCAUUCUUCUGUUACUAUUGGUCUCUUAAAUUAGUGGAAAUGGUGAAGAACACUGAAUAUAUAACCUUUUCUAUUCUUAUGUUUAUGGUUUAAUCAAUGCAAGAUUAGUUAUGGUAGUGAGCACACAUGAUGACGAGAAAGGGGUAAGUCAAAGUAUUUUAGUCCCUUGCCUUAAUUGUUUAGACAGAAUAUGUAUCCAUGUGGUUGCUCCAGAAUCUGUCUGCUUAUAUUCGCAUUGUACGUGAGAGUGGCUUAAUAGAGAUCUGAAUGGGAAAUGAUUGGUCUUUGUUUGCAGAAAACCAGCUUAAGUGGCAUAUUUGCUACACUUUUCGCAAAAUGAGUCAACAAAAUAAGCUGAUGGGAGCCCCCAGUCCAACAGAUCUCCCACUAAAGCGGAAACGUGGUCGUCCACGUAAGGAUGAGAAUCUUGUGAAGAAAGAGAACUCGUAGUUGCCUGCAACUCCUGCAUCCGAUGGCAUCCAAAAAAUUCUACAAACUGAAAAUCAAAUUAAUGAUAUUGAUGAUGGCAAUGACAUGGUCGGGCGGGUGGUUUCUGGUGUCAUUGAGGGUACUUUUGAUGCUGGAUAUUUUCUGUGUGUUAGGAUUGGCAAUAGCAGCACUCUUCUGCGCGGUGUUGUAUUUCAGCCAGAGCAAGUCACUCCAAUCACAGCAGCAAAUGAUGUUGCUCCACAUGCUCAGUUGUACAAAAGAAGAGAUGUUCCCAUUCCGAUAUUCAACCCACAAAGUCGGGUUAAUGGCUCUAUCCUUCAAGUACAAAACAUUGAGCAACCUGUACAGUUAGAGAACCAGGCACCCGUGGCUCCUGACCAAGUGUUACCUUCUGAAUUGCCGUCAGGUGGCCCAUUUGCACUUAAUAACCAAUCUGCCACUGUUGUUUUGCCUCUGACCAAUAUGCCUAUGUGUUCAUUAAUUAGACAUAUCAAGGCAUGUUGAACAUCACUAAAAUUAUCUUUAGGCAAAGUUUAGUGACAUAUUCCUCAGUUUAUCUUUUGAUGCUUAACUGAUUAAGAACACCUCUUUCUUUAUUAAUGGUUUCUCUUCUUAGGUUCAGCUUCCAUAAAUUUCUUGUUUUUUGAUUCUCUUCUUUGGCUGAUUGCAGUUGAGUAGGGAAACUAAGGGCGGAGAUGUAGUUGAGAAGGUGGUUGUUUAUCAACAUACAAAUAAAGAGGUAGAGGACAAUUGUUGGAAAUUUUCAUGAACUACCAAAUGUUCUUUUCAAGCUUCAACUUUGGCAUACCUUGUUGCAGGUGAGUCUUGUCACCGAUUCAAGCUUCAAUUUUUUCAAAUGAGUCUUGUCACCGAUUCUCCUGUAAAUUCGUCAAGCAGUGAUGACUUUGCGGCAUUUCUUGACGUAGAGUUAAAUUUGAGAUGUAUGUAUGGAUAGUUUGAUAUAUAUUUUGUGGAUGUAGUAAUUUGAAACUGUAAACGAAUGGUAUUAUUGGGAUGUAUUUUGAAUGGUUGAUACAUUUUGACUUUAAAUUUAAAUGAGAAUUUAGACCUUUUAGUUAUAUAUCAUGGCAUUAGCAUAUUGCAGGUGCAUUGGUAAUGUAGGUGAACCACAAUUUUUUUUUCUUUUUUUUAAUCUACAACAUUUUUAAAACGUUGUGUAAAUAUGCCUAAACGUUGUCUGAUAUACUAAACAAUAAUAUUUUUAUCCAAAAAACGUUGUGGAAUCAUACUUUCUACAACGUUUUUAAGCAUCUGCUAAUUUUUGGAAAACAAAUCUACAACGUUUUUUCCCUAAAAAACGUUGUGUAUUGUGCUUAACUACAACGUUUUAAAAACGUUGUGUAAGGGUGUCAAAUAGAUGACACCCUUAACCACGACGUUUUUCUGACUAAAACCACAACGCUUUUUUCGCGUUGUCUAUUUACUGUUUAGUAGUAGUGUGUGGUGAUGUCAAACUCCCUUCUGAAGCGUUUUCAAUAAGUGGUUGGUCAAAAUCCAGGUUUGCGCCUUGGAAUGCUUGAGUUACUUGCCUUGGAACUGACUCCGGUGAGGUAAUGUUAUUUGUUGAUGAAGCAGCUCUUCCUGUAGUUCUCCCACUUCGAGUUGUGGGCAUACCCUUCACGAAUUCUACACCUCCCCAGCAGAGUCGCCAAUUAAAUGUGGGCAAGGAAAUCGUGCCUUGCCAGUUAGGGUUUCGUGUUGGCUGAGGAGGAGAGAAAUCUACAAAGAGCACGGAAUUGAUUGGUUGAUUGAAGAGGGGAGAACGACAGAUGGGCGAUUAUUCCAAUGACACGUGGCAGAACUCCUAGAAUCCGGGAACCGUGUUAGGGUAGUAGGGAUUCCAAGAGCCUUUUUGAGUCCAUCGUUGUUGAGAGAAUGUCUAAAUCCCUUUUUAGUGCUUUUAGGUGGAAUCUCUGAGCCUUUAAGUCACUAAAAAGGGUCAUUUGAUCUUCCCAGAGUCCAAGUCUUGAGUUUGAAGAGAGGUCCCCUUCCCAAUGGAAUGGAAGGGGUAUUUAUAGGAUUCUUUGGAAAGUAGUCAUGUGCAAGGCACAUGCUUUCAAGGAAUUUUCAGAAAUACCCUUUAGCCAUUAGAAUAAUGCCCAUAUUGCCCUGUCCUUCUAGCCACCAAUCCAAUCCCUCAAUCAAUUCUCAAAACGAGCUGCCUCCACGAGUCUUCUGCCUCGGGACACGUGGAGGCUUCUCUCGGGUCUAAUACAUUUAUUUCUGACCUCUCCGUCCUCAUUUAAUUAGGUUAUGCGAACUCUAAUUUGCACAUUUAAUUCAAUUAGGUCAUGUGAACUCUAAUUUUACACUUUGGCCCACAGACAUAUAUACACUAAAAUUAUUAACAUGAAAAUUUUAACAUUUCACAACUCUUAUUUUUAGUUUUUAGUUGAUUAAGUAUAAUGAUAUCAUUAACUACAUUUUUAGCUAAUGAUAGAAAUAUGAUUAGAAAACUAUAUAUAUAUAUAUAUAUAUAUAUAUAUAUAUAUAUAUAUAAUAUUUUUGACAAAUCUAUCUCUCAUAAAAGAAGGCAUUUGGAAACUUGGACAAAAUCCCAAAUUUACAUGCAUGCCCCUGCUUCUUUUCUGUAUGGGGAGCAUGCAGCGUGCCACAUGUCCACCAUAGUCACAUACAAAUACACAUGUAAAACCCUAAACCCUAAACAAGUAGUAGUCUUUAAAUGGAGUACUACAACCAUCAUCAUAUGUACGUAUAUACGCACAAAAUGCAUGAUUUAAGCAUGCCCACAUAUUCCAUGCAUUUCAUACCGCUUCCUCAAGUCCCCUAUAAAUAUCAAUUCACUCCUCUUAAUUCUCGCAUCUUUUCACAAAAACCCUUGUUUCUCUUUGUCUUUCUAAAAAUGGGGUUUCUCUCUCUAAAAACUGUUGUGUUAUUGCAUCUCUCAGUCCUUUUAUUGAGUUGUUUGAAUGUGCUUGGUAGUUAUGAUGGUGUAAUGAGUAUAGCAGAUACACCCGAUAAUCUCCCUACCCAGCCUCCGGCUCAGGCCCCUCAGUACCACCACCCCAAACAAUAUCCUCCGGCUCAACCUCCUAGCCAAGCGACGGCUAAGCCACCGGUUCAACCAGCUCCAAGCCAUGCACCAACUCAACCUCCAAGCCAUGCACAAACUCAACCUCCAAGCCGUGCGCCAACUCAACCUCCAAGCCGUACGCCGAGUCCUCUGCCGCCGAGGAAGUUUGUAGCUGUGCAAGGUGUUGUUUACUGUAAGGACUGCAAGUAUGUAGGGAUCAAUACCCU